rnacentral:lncRNA from 1 species
AAAUAUAACCUUUCAUCUUAUAUUGUUUUUAAGUUUUCUUAGUCGUGUGGAUAUUGUACGUAUUAUUAAUUAAUGGAUUCUAGAAAGGGAAAAAUUGUUGUGAAAUAUAUAUUAGUGAUCAAUUAAUAUUAGAGAUAAUUGUAGAGGACCUUUCAUGAAAGUGUGUGGACCUUUUACGAAGGGGCCAACUUCUAAGGGACAUGGUGACCUUUAGGCAUGUCCUUUCCCCUUGUAUAAAUAUGUAACCAAAUCACUCAUUCAAUUAAUGGAGAGAAUUCUCGAAUUCAGUCUUUCAGUCUCUCUUCAACUCUCAACAAAAAUAUAGCCGGCCCGUACGAGCACAUCAAGCAUUCAUCCUGAUUCCUGACGAUAUGGUGCGUAUAUGCUUGAGCAUGCAUGCUGAGCAAACAUAACUGAUCACCAAUGAACAAUGUGGUGUAUAUAUCUGCUAAACCUAAAUAAAAUUAUAAUGCCGUGAAAUGGUCUCCAAGACAUUUAUUUAUUCAUUAAUUACAUAUUUCUAAUUAUAAAGACAUUAUAAGUGUCAAAAGAGCAGAAAGGGUGUCUAGCCAGUCGUCGUACAGCUAAUAAGCAUGCAUUGUGCCAAUGUCCUCGAUCAUCCAUGUCAAUUUCUCCGAUGUGACCGAGUUGACAAUCUUGCUAUUUCCCAUCUUCGAAAAAAGAAUAUGUUGCACAAAGAAAACCCAUGAUGAUGCUGUCCAAGGAAUGCAUGCGUUCUGAAAAGACACUGCUUCGGGGGUUAUUCAGAUCGCUGUCUUUGGUGGUUGAAGUUUGGUUGGCCCCCACGGCUCCUAACUGUCAACAAUCAUGAGCCACUGCCCACUAGAUGUUGUGUUUGCCUGCCCAUUUCCUAACUGCAGAUAGGAAGGGAAUUUCCCAUAGUUAAAACUUAAAAGAGAAAUAAAAAGCAGGACUGGUGGUUAACUUUUUGACUCUUGAACUAGGUUGAAGGUAAUUAAUUGACUUUUUUAUAUGGUCUGAUAUUUUUAAAAAUAUUUUAUAAACUUUAAACUCUAAAAGAGCACUGAUGGAGUUUUUCUUUUGCACGUGUGUUUUCCCAGCCUAUCUGUGACCUGAAGUUUGUCAGUCGACAUAGUAGGAGCCUAGGAGGUAUCGAUGCCCCGCAGUGGCCCACUGCUCCCCAGUGUGGCCUCCAACGUGGGCCAGCCACUCCGUCAAAGCCUGAGCGCUCAACAAACCGUCAAGCUUCCCCCACCAAAAUGUUCGGGUAUGCUAGAUUUUCCCAUUAUACUACUUGCAAUUGGCAGACUGUGUAGAUUAGGGCCUGUUUUCUUCCACCCAUCUAAAAUUUAGAUGCUAAAAUUUAGCAACUUUGAGCUGCUAAAUUGGAAAACAGUCUUGCUAAACUUGCUAAAGUUGAGUUGCUAAAGUUUAGAUCUUUAGCAAGUUUUGGGUUGCUAAAACUUGCUAAAAGGUGGGCUGGACACCUUCUACCCCUCAUUAUUGUCUGGCAGUCCCGCACUCCCGCACGCAUACCCCUCCCGCACUCUGCAUCCACCCGCACUCCCGCACGCCCGCCUCCUCUUCUCUUCGCAUCCGCCCCCUUCCUGCCCCGCAUCGAGCGCCGCCGCCGCAACCGCAUCCACCCCCGCCGCCGCCACGCAUCCGCCGCCUCCGCCACGCAUCGACCGCCGCCGGCUCCUGGGGUCGAGCCCCACCGCCGCCCUAGCCGCGACGCAUCCACCGCCGCCCUAGCCGCGCCGCAUCCACCGCCGCCGCCGCAACGCAUCCACCGGCGCUGCCCAUACAAUCUCCCGCCGCCGCCUCCAAUAGUCUAGCUCCACCGCCGCCGGCUCCUGGAGUCCACUGCCGCCGCCGCCCCCCGGAGUCCAGGACCGCCGCCACCCCCGGAGUCCAGGGCCGCCGCCGCCUGCUGCUGGAGGCCGCCCUAUCUUCCCCCUCCCCCCACUCCAACUCCAGAUCCGCCAUCCCAUCGUCCCCCUCCCCCCACUCCCACCCCGGAUCCGCCAUCCUCGCCGACACAACUCCCGGAUCCGCCAUACUCGCCGCCCCUGCUCCAUCCCCAUCCUCACCGCAACCUCCAACUCCCNNNNNNNNNNNNNNNNNNNNNNNNNNNNNNNNNNNNNNNNNNNNNNNNNNNNNNNNNNNNNNNNNNNNNNNNNNNNNNNNNNNNNNNNNNNNNNNNNNNNNNNNNNNNNNNNNNNNNNNNNNNNNNNNNNNNNNNNNNNNNNNNNNNNNNNNNNNNNNNNNNNNNNNNNNNNNNNNNNNNNNNNNNNNNNNNNNNNNNNNNNNNNNNNNNNNNNNNNNNNNNNNNNNNNNNNNNNNNNNNNNNNNNNNNNNNNNNNNNNNNNNNNNNNNNNNNNNNNNNNNNNNNNNNNNNNNNNNNNNNNNNNNNNNNNNNNNNNNNNNNNNNNNNNNNNNNNNNNNNNNNNNNNNNNNNNNNNNNNNNNNNNNNNNNNNNNNNNNNNNNNNNNNNNNNNNNNNNNNNNNNNNNNNNNNNNNNNNNNNNNNNNNNNNNNNNNNNNNNNNNNNNNNNNNNNNNNNNNNNNNNNNNNNNNNNNNNNNNNNNNNNNNNNNNNNNNNNNNNNNNNNNNNNNNNNNNNNNNNNNNNNNNNNNNNNNNNNNNNNNNNNNNNNNNNNNNNNNNNNNNNNNNNNNNNNNNNNNNNNNNNNNNNNNNNNNNNNNNNNNNNNNNNNNNNNNNNNNNNNNNNNNNNNNNNNNNNNNNNNNNNNNNNNNNNNNNNNNNNNNNNNNNNNNNNNNNNNNNNNNNNNNNNNNNNNNNNNNNNNNNNNNNNNNNNNNNNNNNNNNNNNNNNNNNNNNNNNNNNNNNNNNNNNNNNNNNNNNNNNNNNNNNNNNNNNNNNNNNNNNNNNNNNNNNNNNNNNNNNNNNNNNNNNNNNNNNNNNNNNNNNNNNNNNNNNNNNNNNNNNNNNNNNNNNNNNNNNNNNNNNNNNNNNNNNNNNNNNNNNNNNNNNNNNNNNNNNNNNNNNNNNNNNNNNNNNNNNNNNNNNNNNNNNNNNNNNNNNNNNNNNNNNNNNNNNNNNNNNNNNNNNNNNNNNNNNNNNNNNNNNNNNNNNNNNNNNNNNNNNNNNNNNNNNNNNNNNNNNNNNNNNNNNNNNNNNNNNNNNNNNNNNNNNNNNNNNNNNNNNNNNNNNNNNNNNNNNNNNNNNNNNNNNNNNNNNNNNNNNNNNNNNNNNNNNNNNNNNNNNNNNNNNNNNNNNNNNNNNNNNNNNNNNNNNNNNNNNNNNNNNNNNNNNNNNNNNNNNNNNNNNNNNNNNNNNNNNNNNNNNNNNNNNNNNNNNNNNNNNNNNNNNNNNNNNNNNNNNNNNNNNNNNNNNNNNNNNNNNNNNNNNNNNNNNNNNNNNNNNNNNNNNNNNNNNNNNNNNNNNNNNNNNNNNNNNNNNNNNNNNNNNNNNNNNNNNNNNNNNNNNNNNNNNNNNNNNNNNNNNNNNNNNNNNNNNNNNNNNNNNNNNNNNNNNNNNNNNNNNNNNNNNNNNNNNNNNNNNNNNNNNNNNNNNNNNNNNNNNNNNNNNNNNNNNNNNNNNNNNNNNNNNNNNNNNNNNNNNNNNNNNNNNNNNNNNNNNNNNNNNNNNNNNNNNNNNNNNNNNNNNNNNNNNNNNNNNNNNNNNNNNNNNNNNNNNNNNNNNNNNNNNNNNNNNNNNNNNNNNNNNNNNNNNNNNNNNNNNNNNNNNNNNNNNNNNNNNNNNNNNNNNNNNNNNNNNNNNNNNNNNNNNNNNNNNNNNNNNNNNNNNNNNNNNNNNNNNNNNNNNNNNNNNNNNNNNNNNNNNNNNNNNNNNNNNNNNNNNNNNNNNNNNNNNNNNNNNNNNNNNNNNNNNNNNNNNNNNNNNNNNNNNNNNNNNNNNNNNNNNNNNNNNNNNNNNNNNNNNNNNNNNNNNNNNNNNNNNNNNNNNNNNNNNNNNNNNNNNNNNNNNNNNNNNNNNNNNNNNNNNNNNNNNNNNNNNNNNNNNNNNNNNNNNNNNNNNNNNNNNNNNNNNNNNNNNNNNNNNNNNNNNNNNNNNNNNNNNNNNNNNNNNNNNNNNNNNNNNNNNNNNNNNNNNNNNNNNNNNNNNNNNNNNNNNNNNNNNNNNNNNNNNNNNNNNNNNNNNNNNNNNNNNNNNNNNNNNNNNNNNNNNNNNNNNNNNNNNNNNNNNNNNNNNNNNNNNNNNNNNNNNNNNNNNNNNNNNNNNNNNNNNNNNNNNNNNNNNNNNNNNNNNNNNNNNNNNNNNNNNNNNNNNNNNNNNNNNNNNNNNNNNNNNNNNNNNNNNNNNNNNNNNNNNNNNNNNNNNNNNNNNNNNNNNNNNNNNNNNNNNNNNNNNNNNNNNNNNNNNNNNNNNNNNNNNNNNNNNNNNNNNNNNNNNNNNNNNNNNNNNNNNNNNNNNNNNNNNNNNNNNNNNNNNNNNNNNNNNNNNNNNNNNNNNNNNNNNNNNNNNNNNNNNNNNNNNNNNNNNNNNNNNNNNNNNNNNNNNNNNNNNNNNNNNNNNNNNNNNNNNNNNNNNNNNNNNNNNNNNNNNNNNNNNNNNNNNNNNNNNNNNNNNNNNNNNNNNNNNNNNNNNNNNNNNNNNNNNNNNNNNNNNNNNNNNNNNNNNNNNNNNNNNNNNNNNNNNNNNNNNNNNNNNNNNNNNNNNNNNNNNNNNNNNNNNNNNNNNNNNNNNNNNNNNNNNNNNNNNNNNNNNNNNNNNNNNNNNNNNNNNNNNNNNNNNNNNNNNNNNNNNNNNNNNNNNNNNNNNNNNNNNNNNNNNNNNNNNNNNNNNNNNNNNNNNNNNNNNNNNNNNNNNNNNNNNNNNNNNNNNNNNNNNNNNNNCACUGGCCGGCGGGCCCACCACGUGAUUGGCGGCGUGGGCCAUGCGUGUCAGGGGGCGGAAUGCAUGGUGGAUGGGGCGGAAUGCUGGCUGCCCAUGACCGACCGCGACUCGCCUCUGCUUCGCUUCACGCGCUCGCGUCUGGCAACCGCGUCGGGAUCCGCUGCGCGACCCCCGAACAGCAAACGCCGGAGUGGCGCCACUCUCCGUGGAGCAACAACAAGGGCACAUUUUCUUUGUACUCACUGCGAAUAAAUGUCCAGCGUUCAUUAAAUGCAUCUGCAUGGAACAGCACGGCAAGUGCAGAUUUUUUUUCUCCUUGGAUAUGCUCAGCCGAUCUUGACAGCCACAGUAAUAUCUUGCUUUUGGAGCAAGAAAAUUUUCUCUUCAUUCAUCCGAAGGCGUGGCGUGGUGGACGGCAGUAAGCCAGUAAUACUUGAGCCACCAAGUUCCUCCUUAGAAAACAAAAAAAAUCCACGCCUAGGAGCUUGAGCAUGUAUCGCCAGUGUUCAUGAAAAGCUAGCCUGGGACUGGUAACAUGAGUUGCGUGGCUCUGUUUCCCGUUCUUGAUGAUCAUAUGUGGCAUGUCUGGGAACUUGACUUAACUUCUCUCUCUGUGUUUUUCUUCUUCUUUUUUUAGGGGAGCUUAACCUCUCUCUAUGAGCACGCUUGUGUUCUUUUGGGAAUGGGCUUCCUUUUGGAGGGAGGAGGGCCGUGGAUUACACCACCGUCGUCAGAAGUGAGUGUGUGUGAUCAGAAAGAAAUGCCCGUUUCGCGAUAGAAAAGGCCGAAGUCUCGAGCCCAAUGGGCUAACAAGAAAGGUAUGGGCCGAAAACCUUCAUGUGCUCCUCUUCACUCACUCACUACAGCGCCAUUGGGCCCAAUAUACUGGAACUGGCGCCAAAAGCCCAAAAGGCUUCCCGUGUUCCCAGCUGUCUGUACAGAUGUCUUCCUUUCUCCAUAGUUGUGCUUGAAACCCAACAAAAAACAUCUGAAGUUUCAUGUUUCGACAUAAGUUACCUGGGGUUUUUCAAGCUUCAUAAGAACGGAAAAUCGAGUUGCAAACGAGCUGGCAUGAUUUUCGGAUUAAAGAAUAANNNNNNNNNNNNNNNNNNNNNNNNNNNNNNNNNNNNNNNNNNNNNNNNNNNNNNNNNNNNNNNNNNNNNNNNNNNNNNNNNNNNNNNNNNNNNNNNNNNNAUAAUGCGGAUGAUGAAGAAACGAUGCUACACUCUGAGGACAUCAUCUCAGCAAAUGAAGGUGCUACCCAACAUGAUAUGAGAUCAAAGCAUGAACCAGUUUCGGGAUUGGAUAGCCGAUGGAUGUUCAAUAGGUCAUAGGAUCCUUUACUUUUUUGUUGUAAUAAUGUAAUUUUUGGGAUGCACAAUAAUUUUUUGAUUCAAUAAAAAAAAAAUAGCUGCCAGCAUCGUGGCAUUCCAUUUUAUUGAUCGACGCAACGUUAGUAGGAACGGCGCUAGAAUGGAACAAAUGGGCAGGAAGGUGCAUCAUGACAGGAAAGAAAUGGCGCCAGGAAAGAAAUGGCGCCAAGGAAAUCCUGGCGCCAAGAGCAGUUCAACCGGACAGAAGAAUGGCGCCAGGGAGGAGGGAGAAAAAAUGGCGCCAGGGAGGAGUGAGAUGAGAGAGAAAGAAGGGUAGCAAUCAUUAGGGGCAAACAUGUCUUUAACCUUCUCAUUCAAUGCCUUUUAGCAAGUGGAAGAAAACAGGUUUGGCUAAACUUUAGAUGCUAAACUUUAGCAACUUUUAGCAUCUAAAGUUUAGCAACUGCAAGAAAACAGGCCCUUAGUUUGAAAAGAAUAGUUGUACAAUAUUACUUCCUCCGUCCCAAAUUGUAGAUCGUUUUAGUUUUUUUUAAUACUUAUCUUUUGCUACGCAUAUACAUAUAAAUUAGGUCUAAAUAUAAAGUAAAACAUAUGUAUUUAGAAAAAUUAAAAUGGUCGACAAUUUGAAAUAUAGGUAGUAUUUGAUUGCCACGAAAAGAACCAAGAACGGACAUGGACCAGAAACCAGAUAUCAACGUUACAAUACAAAUUAGCUCAAUUAUACGAGUUUUAGAUCAACCUAAUGACCGGAAACAAAGCUUGCUUGAUCUGUGAUGUGAGUGAUUCAAGAAACGGCAUGAUGAGUUGAGCUCAAGAGGUGGCCACGUGGCAUCAACAAUAAUGCCGGCCCAAUUCUCCCAGUACUGGUCCAAAUCGAAUUUGUGCUAGGCAACUUUAUUCGCGGAGGCCCUGAAAUGCUGAAACUAGACCAAAACUCACCUUUCACAAAUUGAACUACAAGAAAUUCAAUGAAAACGCAUGAAUCCUCUUUCGAGAUGGCUGUGCAUCACAACUAGGCGUACUUGGCAGAAGAUAGUUUGCUGGAUCAUUAUGUAGCUUCCCAUGCAUAAUUCAUCAAACGUCAAAUGAUGGAGAAUUUUGUGAAAUGGCGCUUGUAUUGCUGACUAUCUCAAAUGACACUUGCUUAGGCACCCACUGACUUACAGUGAGAAGCCAGAUCAGCCGGUGAAGGCAAAUCGAAUGAAGGACCACAUUCAUAAACACUGAAUUCAGAAUUAAAAGACUGUAAUAUUCCAGAUUGUCCCUAUUAAAGGCUUCAUCUUCAUGUGCUGGAGCUCCAGUAAAAGCAAAUUAUUUACGACCCUUUCCAAUUUGUGCAUAACAUCAACCUUUUCUGACAUGAAAUUCCUUUGUAAAAACAAGAAAUUUCUAUGUUAUAGGGGGAAACAUGCUAGAACUUGAACAUGGGUUUUGAAAACAUUUCAAAAUCAUAUGAAUUUCUUCAUUCCAAAAGAAGCUUCAGCAAUAGCAGAGAGCUUUACAAGCCAUACAGAGCUAGAAAAAGGAAAAUCAUGAAUUGAAUCUGUCGUUUAAUUUCAUCAAAAAUUGAACUGCUAGGGAAUAUAAUAUCUUCGUCAGUCUCAUGUUAACCAAAAUUUGCUCCAGCUAUGGACCACAGACAUUAAAAAAUAGCUCAGAUCAAAUGGAUUUUCUGAAGAAAACAUUCAGAUUGUGUGCAUAUACUGGAAUACUAGUUAACAGCAAUAUGUUUUCAGGUCUGAGUGAAGGGUAAGCAUCUACACCUGGCCCUCGGCAAAUUAAACAAAGGGAUUAAAGUUCCUCCUUGAGCGAAAGCAGUGAUUAGUCAAUUAGAUUACAGAUAGGAGCAGACACAAAAGCAGUAAAAGGUCACACCUUUGCUUUACACGACAAGAUCGCUUCCCCUGUUCACCAUCAAAUCAGAGUGCCUCUAAAACCGUGUUCGCUACUGGUAGUAGAGUAUUACGGAGUACUAAAUAAAAGAAAGGCUAAAAUUGAAGGCCAUUUAGCUGGAUUGCAGGUUACCCAAUUAAGCUUAAUCUUCAUUAGCUAAGUAAACCACGUAUGCAGGAACUAGUUAAACCUUGGAGGGUGGAUUGGAGUCAUGGAGCCAGAAGCAGGUACUUGUUAGCUCGGUCUUGCUUGGCUGGUUCGAAUUCCUCCUCUAGCGGCUAGCGCCUGGCUCCGGCGCCCAUCAUCUUCUUGAACUCGUCGAAGUUGACGCUGCCGUCGCCGUCGGCGUCGACGGAGCGGAUCAUCCUUGAGCAGUCUGCGACGGAGCACUUAUCCCCGAGCUGGCGGAGCACGCGGUGGAGCUCCCGCGCGGAGAUGAGCCCGUUGUGGUCGGCGUCGUACAUGCGGAACGCCUCCCGCAGCUCGGCCUCCGUGGCGUCCUCCUGCCCCUCCCCGGCGCCGGCGCCGCCGCUGGGCCCGCAGUGGAAGGCGACGAACUCGGCGAGGUCGACGAAGCCGUCGCGGUCAGCGUCCAUCUCGUCCAUCAUGCGGCGCACCUCCCCGGGCCCCGGUGGCGCGCCCAGCGCCCGCAGCACGGACGCCAGCUCCUCCGCCGAGAUCUUGCCGUCGCCGUUGGCGUCGUAGCGCCGGAACACCUGCUCCACCUCCGCCGCCGGCAUCCCCACACCCCCUCCCCCUCCCACUGCCCCGCCCGCCGCCGCCUUCGCCGAGUCCCUGCCCUUGUUGACGCUCGCCAUGCUCCUUCCCUCUCUCUUUCUCUGUCCUCGAGACGCGUCUUCCCCCUCUCAAUCCGGGCUCCUGCUUUUUUAUCCGUGGACGUCGCGGCGAAGCUACGCGCACUCUACGCAUCCGCGACGUACCCUCACGGACCCGUGGGCCCGCACAAAUCAUGGUACAGUGGCCUCGGAGGUGGCUUCGGUUUGGAGGGACUUGAGAUCCGCGGCCCACUCGUGACGGAAUCGUCCGGAGAAAGAAAGGGAAGCGGAGCGGACAAAAGGCACCCGGCACCACGGACACGUGGAUGUCAAGCUGCCACUGGCCGGCGGGCCCACCACGUGAUUGGCGGCGUGGGCCAUGCGUGUCAGGGGGCGGAAUGCAUGGUGGAUGGGGCGGAAUGCUGGCUGCCCAUGACCGACCGCGACUCGCCUCUGCUUCGCUUCACGCGCUCGCGUCUGGCAACCGCGUCGGGAUCCGCUGCGCGACCCCCGAACAGCAAACGCCGGAGUGGCGCCACUCUCCGUGGAGCAACAACAAGGGCACAUUUUCUUUGUACUCACUGCGAAUAAAUGUCCAGCGUUCAUUAAAUGCAUCUGCAUGGAACAGCACGGCAAGUGCAGAUUUUUUUUCUCCUUGGAUAUGCUCAGCCGAUCUUGACAGCCACAGUAAUAUCUUGCUUUUGGAGCAAGAAAAUUUUCUCUUCAUUCAUCCGAAGGCGUGGCGUGGUGGACGGCAGUAAGCCAGUAAUACUUGAGCCACCAAGUUCCUCCUUAGAAAACAAAAAAAAUCCACGCCUAGGAGCUUGAGCAUGUAUCGCCAGUGUUCAUGAAAAGCUAGCCUGGGACUGGUAACAUGAGUUGCGUGGCUCUGUUUCCCGUUCUUGAUGAUCAUAUGUGGCAUGUCUGGGAACUUGACUUAACUUCUCUCUCUGUGUUUUUCUUCUUCUUUUUUUAGGGGAGCUUAACCUCUCUCUAUGAGCACGCUUGUGUUCUUUUGGGAAUGGGCUUCCUUUUGGAGGGAGGAGGGCCGUGGAUUACACCACCGUCGUCAGAAGUGAGUGUGUGUGAUCAGAAAGAAAUGCCCGUUUCGCGAUAGAAAAGGCCGAAGUCUCGAGCCCAAUGGGCUAACAAGAAAGGUAUGGGCCGAAAACCUUCAUGUGCUCCUCUUCACUCACUCACUACAGCGCCAUUGGCCCAAUAUACUGGAACUGGCGCCAAAAGCCCAAAAGGCUUCCCGUGUUCCCAGCUGUCUGUACAGAUGUCUUCCUUUCUCCAUAGUUGUGCUUGAAACCCAACAAAAAACAUCUGAAGUUUCAUGUUUCGACAUAAGUUACCUGGGGUUUUUCAAGCUUCAUAAGAACGGAAAAUCGAGUUGCAAACGAGCUGGCAUGAUUUUCGGAUUAAAGAAUAUUGAAAUAUCGUUUAUCAACUAAAGAUUUAAUAAUAGAGAAAAAACAUGAUAUUUCCUUUCAUAUCUUUAUACCAUUUUCUUUUCUAUAAGCAUAUGGACAUAGCAUGUGAGCGGUGACAUUUCAUGCAUCACCUAUUCAAACCUUAAUAACUUUUCUUUCUAUAUAAAUAGCAUUUUUUUUAUCGUGGUGAGUGGAAGGAAACGGUAAUUAGAUGUGACAAGCUAGCGGGGUUCAGAUUAACGUCCUGCUAAAUAUUUGUAGACUGCAACUACCGGGCGCAUCAUUAUGGUUUCACCUAGAAGUAUUGGUGGUGACGUUAGUUUAGAUCUCAUCGGCUUAUGGCUCUAGCUAUGGUGGAGCAACAACUCAACAGCAUCGUGUUUUCUAUCGGCCGUAUGGCUGAUGGUUAUUGUAAAUUAUAUUAAAUCGGCUGGAUGGCCGAUGAAUCACUCACAUUCAUCAAGGUACUGGAAUCGGCUUCACAGCCGAUAUAUUUGUCAUGAUUUAUUUUGUUGCACCAUUAUUGCUAUUGUGCCAGGAUUAUAUCGGCCUGAUCGACCGGUUGCCUCGGACUUCACAACGACUAUCAUCUCCUUGUCAGUUGAAUGGUGAAACUGACUGGCACGCUCGCGCACACCACGCGCGCCGAUUUGGAUUAUGCACUGGAGUUAAGCAGAUCUCCCAGGUCCUCAUGUGGUGAUGCAGGGUCCACCACCGCCAGGAUUUGCGUCAACACAUUUUGGCACGUCCGGUGGGACACGGUUAUAAGGCUCACAUUUUUAUUCAAUAAAAAAGCAUCUUCAGCAGCUGUAUCAAGUUCAUCGACCAAAUGAGUAUUCAUCGGCUUGUUGGAGUUAAUUCAAAUCAAUAUAAUAUUCCAACCAGAAGAGCCGAUGGUACAGAAAGCUGAUCUGCACGUUGUAUAGAUAAAUUUGAUGCCAGAUUAAUUACGGAGGAAACCGAUACAACAUCGACACCAUCAUUCCUUACUGAUGUUAUAUAUCGGCCAGUUCAGAGGAAACAAGUAUCGGCUGGGCAUAUAGUAGCUGAUGGAGUUUUGUUUUUUUAUCAUCCAAAGGAAACAAGCAUCGGCCGAUGGAAUAUAAUCGGCAAGCAUAGUGGCCGAUGGAAUUAUUUUUUUUAGCCAAUGGAAUAUUUUUUUUCAGCCGAUAGAAAUAUUUUUCAGCUGAUGCAACAUUUUUUCAGCCGAUGGGAAAAGCUCCAGCGGGUGGACAAGAGAGAAAUAAAAAAAUACAUCAGCAGAUUGACAGUUGUAUCGGCUGAUUGGAAAAAUUAAAAGGGAUCGGUCAAUUGGAAAUUGCAUCAGGUGAUGGAAAAUGGGAUCGGUUGGAGUUGUAUCGGCUGAUUAAGGAAAAAAACAGCAGCCGAUCGUAGAGAAAGACAUCGGCCGAUUAGCAUUAGCCUGUUGGAAUUAAAAGAAAAAAAAAUAGGGAGAGGCAUCGGCCGAUUAGCGUCAGCCUGUUGGAAUUAAAAGAAAAAAAACAGAGAGAGGCAUCGGCCGAUUAGCGCGAGCCUGUUGGAAUUAAAAGAAAAAAAAACAGAGAGGCAUCGGCCGAUUAGCAUCAGCCAGUUGGAAAUAAAAAAAAAGAAGGGAGCAGCCAGCCGAUGGAAGUUCCAGCUGAUUGGCAAAUGAAUAAAUGAAAGAAGAAAAAAAAGGAAGAGCAGCCGAAGGGCACCUCAGCCGCCAGGCAGGAAAUAGAUAAAAGUAGACGAGGAAGAGCGGCCUAUGUCUGUGAUCUCCUGCUUGGUUAAAAAAAAAUCGGCUGCUGGUUCAAGCGAAAUGGUAUCAACGGCUUGGUUCAAAAUAAUAUCGGCCAACUAUAUACAUAUUGGCCUCCGAGCCAAUGACCAAUAAAAAAAGAUAGUAUCGACCGAUUGACUGCUUGGCAAAUAAAGAAAAUUGCAUCGGCUGAUUGGUUCAAGAAAAAUAGUAUCGGCUGCUUAUAGAAUUUAUCGGAUAUUAAUUUCGAAGUAUGAAAUAUUCAUACUUCGAAACUAGGGGGCCUGUGUUGACAACAAAAGCUUGCUGGUUACUGCACCAAGUUUUGGUGUCAAUAGACUAAUCUGUUGUUUCUACUGCUGGCAAAGCCGAUGGUGUUCUUUAUAUUUCAAGAGGAGUCGACGUGGCUUUAGAUAUUGCAAUCAGACGUCAUUAGCUCUGAAGACAAGCAUCAGACUUCUACGAUUAGUUUCGGAACACGAAACCUUCAUACUCCGAAACUGGGGGGCCUAUGUUGACACCGAAUCAUCGGACUUCUAUAAUUAGUUUCGGAACAUGAAGCCUUCAUACUCCGAAACCGGGGGCCUGUGUUGAUACCAGAUUUUAAUCGAAUCCCUUAAUACGGAAUAUGAGGCCAUCGGUGUCAUAUGCGACUAGUCUCUGCAUGCGUAUAUAUAUUGGAAGGUCCUAAUCAAUAUGUGAGUUGAUCAAGGAAAAAUCUGGCACAUACAUGCAUAGCACCUGAUAGCAGUACGAAAAAGGAAGCUUAAUUAAUUACGACUUACAUAAGGAAAGUUAGAGUCCGUGUAUCUUAAUAUUUCUUUUUGUUUAGAUAUUUCGUAUCAGGUAGUUUUGAUACGGUUCCUUCUAGGAAUUGUUAGUUCAGAGUAUAAAUAUGCACCUCUGGUCAUUGUAAAAUCAUCACACGAUCAAUAAACAAACAUAUUUACCUUUACUUUUCGGCUUCACGCCAUUUGCCCUAGGAGUAGGAGUAUUGUAGUUUCUCAACGAGUUCCUUCUAGCAAGCUGAGCUGCAUCAACCUCGAUCUCCAGCGAGCUGCAAGUUUCGUCAACAGGUGUUCUAGGCUUUAAUCACCGGGCGCAUCGCUGUGGUUUCGUCUAGUUUCAUCUACCAGUUAUCGAGUAUCUUGGAUCUUUGACUUACGGCGCAUCGCUUCUGUCUUGAUCUAUGGUAUUCACCAGCUAUCUCGCAUUGAUUAAACUUGCAUUCGGCUGAUAUUUAUCUGUUCUAUCGUCUUGCCGUUUACGACAUAUUAAUUGUUAUUAAUUCUGUCGGAAUAGACGAUAGAUCUAUUUUUAAUAGCCUGUUGCAUCUUGAUCUUGGCCAUCCUUCGAGUGUUGUUGGGAGUAAGUUCCGUUGUGAUUGGAUUCAUCGGCUAGCGGGGUUCAAAUUAACGUCCUGCUAAAUAUUUUUAGACUGCAACUAUCGGGCGCAUCGUUGCUAAAUAGUAUUGGUGGUGACGUUAGUUUAGAUCUCAUCAGCUUGUGGCUCUAGCUACGGUGGAGCAACAACUCAACAGCAUCGUGUUUCUAUCGGCCGUAUGGCUGAUGGUUAUUGUAAAAUUAUAUUAAAUCGGCUGGAUGGCCGAUGAAUAACUCACAUUCAUCAAGUUACUGGAAUUGGCUUCACAGCCGAUAUAUUUGUCAUGAUUUAUUUUGUUGCACCAUAUUGCUAUUGUGCUAGGAUUAUAUCGGCCCGAUCGACCGGUUGCCUCGGACUUCACAACGACUAUCAUCUCCUUGUCAGUUGAAUGGUGAAACUGACUGGCACGCUCGCGCACACCACGCGCGCCGAUUUGGAUUCUGCACUGGAGUUAAGCAGAUCUCCCAAAUCCUCAUGUGGUGAUGCAGGGUCCACGAUCGUCAGAAUUUUGCGUCAACAGACAGCUAUACGGGUAACCAUGAGUCCAUGAACAGCCCAUAGGUAUCCAAACAUUAACACUCGGAAAAACCCCAACUAUUGCUUGAAUGGCUCAAAUCCAAUGGUUUUUAAGAUUUUAACACCUCUAUUCUUCUUCUCACUAUGGGAUAAUUAUGAUUUGGGUAACCACCCAUAAGUGGUGUUUGAAAAACAUUGAAGCAUCUAUCGUUAUUCUAAACACUAAAUAGUAAAUAGUCGAUCACCUUUAUUUAGUAUUUAUAUUCAUUGAAGGAGUUGCAUCCAUCACCCCAUGUGGCUUGUAUUCACUGGUUUUUCUAUGAGGUAUGAUAUCACAACCAUCCUUUUCACUCCGCUCCUUACUAUUUAUCUCACCUAUUCAUUAUUUUACCUCUGAAAUUUAAACUUCCGAGUAAAGUGAAGCUUAGAGAGGUCAAGGAUAUAUUCAUAUUAAAAAAGUUAUGGAAAAGAUAUUAGUGCUAAGAACCCUAAAGUGGUAGAGGAACUCAUUGCCCAUAAAGCUGGAAUGUGUCUAUUGUGCUUGUGUGAGUUUUGACAUCCCAAUUGCCAUUCUUACUGCCGGAUAAAUUAUGACCCAGCUAUUGCUGGGCAAACAUUUCUCCUUUAAAAAAAUGGUGAUAAAGGCCUCCAACUUCUCACUAAUCGUGAUGAACAGGUUGGCGUUUGAUAAAAACCUGAAACGGCAGCUGCAUCCACCACUUGGACGGCUGAGAUCCACCCGUUUCGCAGAUUAUAACAUCGCAGCCGCUCUAAUUCUCUAAAACCGGCUUAAACUAGACAGAGCACAAUGGCUCAUCUAAACGCUGGGAAAUAGGGCUCCGCGCCGUCCGGUCCGACGGCGAUGGCUCCUCAGUGACUUUUUUCAGUCUAACCAGAGGAACCGUUCCCCGUCCGUUGGCAGCGUCCGAAUUCCGAAAUUUGAACCUCCCAAGCCCGGAAGAAGCAGGUGCCAUUUUUACUCCUAUUAAAAAAUCGCCGGAAAAGGCCUCCCCUUUGGCCUGCGCGAUUCGAGAUUUCGGAGCACCGCGGGCGGCGGCCGGAUCGGGGUGGCGGCGCGGUUCGGUCGCCGCUGGAGCGGAGCGGAUGCGCGUGCGCCGCGCCCCCGGAGAGGUGAGGCUUCUCCUCUCCUCGCCCUGCCUGCUCCCUCGAUCCGAUCGCGCCCAGGGUCACCCGGCGGCGCGGCGUUCUGAUGCCCAGCUUCGUGCUCCGCGCGGCGGCGGAAGGGUUGGCGAAGUUGGUGGGGAGUGAGCGACGGGUUCCUUCUGGAGGAAGCGGCCUGUGGUGAUGGGUUUGCCAUGACGAUUCGGCUUGGGGGCUUUGGGGUUGCGCAAUGGCGAUAGCACUGGCGGUGCACCAGCAGAGCCUUAGAGGGAUUGGAUUCGUGUGGGGACUGGGAGGAUGUUGCGGGAAUUUUGAAAGACUUAUGCUUGCUGUUGCCUAGUAGAUGCGUAUCUUGUCCGUGUUCUAGAAUUCUCAAAUCUAGGCAACUUCGGAUUUGUUAAUUUCUCACUGCAAAAAGUUGGUACCUUGUGGUUAGCUUUUACUGCAUGUCUGUCUUGGCAAAAUCACUAUGUUCCCCGUACCAUCAGAAUUGUGUGUCUCCCUUGCUGUAAUUUCGAAUAUUCCUACUUCUUGUUUACAUUAUUUGAAUUCUGUUCCGUUUACCCUCUUGGCAGACUAUGACCGCUUCUCCCCAUGUGAAAAAACUCCUUGUAGACCUUCGAGGGAUUUUGACAUUGUGAUGAAUCUUUGGGCCCUUCCAUUGCUUUUUACUACAAGUGGGGAUUGAGUUUUCAGUCUUCACUUACAAUGACGAGUGAAAAGCAAAUGGCUUCAAAGGGCACGGAGGCUUCAGCUCCUGCUGUUCCUCCUGAUGGAGCAGUCAGCAGAGAACCUCAAAAGGGGCGAUUGCCCAAUGGGUAAAUGUCCAUCCACUUAUUUAUAGAACCACUGAUCUGGUUUUACAUUAUGCAUAUCCCUUCUUAUACAUUUAUCUCAUGCUUCAGGAGGACAACUGGUCCAGCACGUCGCUCCUCGAAGGGAAACUGGACUGCAGAAGAGGUAAAGUUUGCACUCUGGUUUCCUAAAUUCGUUUAUUAGUCUUAGGUAGCUUUGAGGAAUGCUGCGCUAAACGCUGAUUCUUUAUAAGAUAAUUUGUACCUAUGCACACAGCAGAUGAAUAUCAUACAGAUAUAUGACUUCUCACCAGACAUUAAUAGUUGAUAAUAUGUAGGGAUUACUGUCCUGAUUGACCCCUUGCUGCAUUUAUUUUCAUUUACAACAAACACUAUAGACAGUUGGUUCAGUGACAUGCAUACAACAGAAAUUAAAGAUUUAUUUGAUGUUCUUUUUUACAUGCUAAGCAUUGCUCUGUGUUAUUGUGUUGAAGAUGGCCUUACAUUUGGUUAGACCAUAUUUUGUCUAUCUAGUGGUGUGGUCUGAUGGGCACAUAUGCUUCUCAAUUGUAGGAUGACAUACUUCGCAAAGCUGUUGAAACUUACAAAGGGAAAAAUUGGAAAAAGAUAGGUACUUUCUCUCGCUGAUGCAAAGUUGUCUGUUCUCUUUUCUCAAUUUGUGCAUUACAGACUGUGGAUUCCUUUUUAAGUAUAAAAAUAUCCAAAUGUAAAUUGACCAUACAAAAUGGCACUUCACUUGGUUUGCUAUCAUGCAUCUUGUUGUUUGCUUGUAAUUUGCAUCAGAAGUCCAGAUCUUAAAAAAAAAGGGAAUGUUGUAUUAUGGCAUAUAGUACCACCUUUUUGUAGAAUAUUUAACUUAGCUUGAUGCUCUGGAUAGAAGAGUUAGCACUUUAGCACCAAAUACAGUAUUAAACUAGAUAUGCCCCUCUUGUUAAUCUUUAUAGUGUAAUAAUUUGAACCUGCGAUACAAAACAUUGCCCCUGAUGCUCAUGGAUUGUGUACAUGCUAGAUACUUUUUUUUAUUUUGUUGUUAUUGUGUUACUCCAUUUUUCCACUGACCUACUUCAAGAAAUUGACACCAGCUACAGACAACUUUCUUUGAAUUUUUUGGUUAUACCAUUUCUGCUCAUGUCAAUGAUGGUACUGCAAGCUUAAUUGCUUACAAUGAUGUGACUCACCUGUCAUGCUACUAUUCCAUCCUCUUCCCCUUGCUUAUCAAUGAGAAUUUUUUCUUGUGUUUAUCUGAGGCUAGUGCUUGACGAACUACUUUUUUUUUUCCCAGCUGAGUGUUUUCCAGGUAGGACUGAUGUACAAUGUUUGCAUAGGUGGCAGAAGGUUUUGAACCCUGAACUUGUUAAAGGGCCAUGGUCCAAAGAAGUAAGUUCUUCAGUUUUCCAUUUUGGGUUUGUUUCACUUUUCUUAAAAUACAUUAACUAUCUCAUCUAAGGUUAUUUUAUCGAAUUAAAUUACAUGCCAGAUGAUUCUUUUAUUAUUAUUUUCAGGAAGAUGAAAUCAUUAUUCAGAUGGUAAACAAACUUGGGCCAAAGAAAUGGUCAACCAUUGCCCAAGCUCUGCCUGGACGUAUUGGAAAGCAAUGCCGGGAAAGGUAUGGCAUGGAAAAUACUUCUAGUAGUGUAGUAUCAGCUCCAAAACUUACUAAUGCAAGUGCUGGGACAAGAUUUGUGUGUUCGUCGUGUGGCUUCUAUGGAAAAAUAGGAGUCAUGGUUUUGGGCAAUUGACCAGAGUGCCCCACUAACUAGAGGGAACUUUCCUUUUUGCAAAAUUAGAAAUACAGUAGUAAAGCUAUUGUGUCCACACUUCUCAUGAUCAUUACUACACAUAUAAAUUCUCCGAAGUCUGAACAAUAGUCAUCCUAAUGUACUAACAGUCCCAAUGAUAUUGUCUGCAUUUUUGUGGUUGGAUACUCUUGAAAUUACAUGGCAUUGUUUCAAGAAAGAUUUAUUUAUCAUAUUUCAUGAAAUGGCAUGCCUAGACUUUGUUUCUUUGAGUGUGCAUUCUUUGUUUGGGGCUUAUGUAUUGCAAACUGAUAGCUGCAAUCACACAAACCACUUUGAUUUGGAGAUAAAUACUGACAUGAAACAUUCUGAUAUGAUAUCUUUAUUUAGGUGGCAUAAUCAUCUUAAUCCUGGGAUCAACAAGGAUGCGUGGACACAAGAAGAGGAAAUCAAGCUUAUCCAUGCUCAUCAAACUUAUGGAAACAAAUGGGCUGAACUGACGAAAUUUUUACCAGGAAGGUAAAUAUUCUUUUCUCAGCUUCUUUUAAACUAGAAAAGAGUACUAGAUCGUGUCAAAUGGAAAAAUAACAUAAUAUUCUAGGUAUUUGUGAUACUCCAUUGCAAUAUGACAGUGUAACAGCCUGAUUUAUAUUUCAAUUACUUACUAACAAGUACAUCACUAAAUCAGCCUGUUAGAGAAUAUUGAGCUAUAUUAUAAUACAAAGAAAUUGAUGAGCAAGUUUGCAUUUAUCCUAUCAGGACAGACAAUGCAAUAAAAAAUCAUUGGCACAGCUCGGUGAAGAAGAAAGUCGAUUCAUACAGAGCAUCUGGUUUACUGGCUCAAUUCCAGGGCCUAACACCUGUUGAAUACACUGCUGGUGGUUUAAAUGUUGAUUCUUCAUCUGCAAUGACCAACCAAAUUAGUGAAGACAGUGGUUUUAAUGUUUGUCGGGAGGUGGAAGAUUCGACAGAGUUAAGUCAAUCAUCGUUUGUGAAGGGUUCUUGCUCUCAGGAGGAGCAAACUGAUGUGGCUUUGGGAUCUCAUUUAAACGUGCAUGAAUCAUUGUGCCAGGAUGGUUUCACUAAUGCUGACAAUGUUGCUUCUGCUUUACCUGAUAUGCAUCACCAGUUAUCCACUUCUGACAUGGAUCAAGGUAAACACUUGCAGGAAGAGUUUUCUCAAGGAAUGGAUUUGGAUAAACACUUGCAGCAAGAGUUUUCUCAAGGAAUGGAUUUGCAUCUUGACAUAGAUGAAGUGCCAAACAAUUUUGUGAUUACAGAUAGCCAGGCAUCCAGUGAGCUUGCAGGUCAAUUUCAGGACACACAGAUUAUGCACAAUUUAGAAAAUGAUGGAGGAUCUCUAAUACCGUGUGCUGUAACACCAUGUGUUCCCAUCUUACCUAGUGUUUCUGAAUGUGAGCAUAACAUAAAUAUGAUGAGUGAAGUGAGCAUAAAAAAUGAUAACUGUUUCCACCCUGAACAGUGGCAGGAUAUUUCCAUUCAACCAGGUGUGUAUUCUUCUGAAGCUGCAAGCAACUUUUCAGCGCCACUUUGCCCAUUGAAGACAUCUGAACCUGCAAGCAACUUUUCAGUGCCACUUUGCCCAUUGAAGACAUCUGAACCUGCAACCAUGAUGGGCGACCAUUUGUAUUAUCAGAGUUCUGAAACAUCAUUACCACCGUCCUUCAUUUUUUCAGAUGUUGCUUCUAAUGCAUCUGAUGUCAAAUUUGAGACAAGUCACUGUUGCCAAGAUUUGGAGAUUAAAACUUGCUACAAUGCUUCUGGUGAUCCUGGUCAAAAUUCAUACAUCAGCACCGAAGAUGACAGAAACCAGACUUCUGAACCUAUGGACAGCAUACCAGAACCUGAAAAGGAACAACUGGUUGAUCUUGACCAAUCAUGUUUGGAGCCUACAGCCUACAAUGGAGAAGAAGCAUUACCAAGUCAGGGUGACACUGUGUUAAGCGAUAAGGAGGAUGCCGGAGCUUUAUGCUAUGAACCUCCUUGCUUUUCAAGUUUUGAAGUUCCCUUUGUCAGCUGCGAGCUUGUAACCUCUAGCGAUCUCCCAGAAUAUAGUCCUCUUGGCAUUCGAGAGCUGAUGAGAUCAUCCUUAAACUUCCCUACUCCAGUAAGAUUGUGGGGCUCCCCAACUCGUGAUGGCAGUCCUGAUGCUGUGCUAAAAAAUGCUGCCAAAAGUUUCGUACGCACCCCGUCCAUAAUGAAAAAACGUCCGAGGGAUCUCUCAUCUCCUAGUCCUGAUAUAAGAAAUGAAAAGAAAUCAAAUACUGAAAAGGAUUGUGGGAGGUCAGGAAUGUCCUCUACAAGAAUAGGGAAGUCUUUCAUGGAUAUCCCUGAUGAUUUUUUUGAUUUAAUUUCACCGAGAUCUGCAUUUCAAAAGAAGCUCAAGCUUUCUCAAGAAAACAAAGAAAAUUUGGAUCAAAUUACUGAUCAGGGAGAAAAUGAAGGCAAUGCAAAGGUAAACCAUUUCGCAGAAGGCAAGAGAUGUUCCACAAAUAGUUUAAUACAUACUUUCAUUCUACUAGUUAUCUUUUUAUACUCAAUAAUAGUUUAUUCAAGGAUAGAAACAUUAAAAGUCUUAGGCCUCACGAGUGAUGGAUUUCCUUUAUUGGAGGCCCACCUUGCCAACCUAUCAUGAGGUACAGACAAUGGUAUAAUCUCUCUUUACAGAAAUACUGGUUUCCAGGGAAACUACACAAGUAACAAUCCAUAUAAGUCAUGUGGGAGGAUCUUGAUGUUAGCUUGAAGUGUGGCAAAAGUUCAGUUAUUAGUAAUAAAGUUUCUAGACUGAAAUGCACGCAAUCAUAAUCUUGAAAUACAAUUUGCUAUGAUGCAUCUUUGUGUUUGUUGUCUUAUGAUAGUCUAUAUGGUUUGAUGCAGCAUUCUGCAGGGAUUCUUACUGAGAGCAGUGUCGACAACCAAAAUACUCCUAAGCAUGCUCCAAAUUAUGAAAGUCAGAGGCUAAAUACCAGCACAAAGGCUUUGUCCAACUCUAAAGACAUAAUAUUUUCUAGAUCAAAACCAUCUGAACUUCUUGUAGAUAAAUCUGCACCCUUCAUUGAUGCAGAGUAUGAGUAUGUGAACAUGUAAGUCGGAUGCUCUUCUAUGUUUUCCAUAGUGAGAAAUUUCCGUUAAUGUUUGAUUCACAAAUACUGAAGUUUGCGCUAUUAAUAUAUGCAGCUGGUAGUUGCAAAUCAAAUCAUCAGUGCUCUUUGAAAUAUAUGUUCAAUUUUUUGGCUACCAUCAAGAAACCAUGUGGUUCUCUCCUGUACAGCAAAAAACCACUUGUUAUUUUUUUCUCCCAACUUUGUACAAAUUGCAUUGAAUUGUGAGAAUAUUCCCCACCUUGGAUAGAGCCACAGCACUGUUUAACCUGGUGUAAAUUCUAAACUGGGUGCUUCAGGGUUUAUUUUAAGACAUUUCAAAUCACAAUUUCCUCAUGAUUGAGUUAGCUAUUGAUUUUCCCUAUUAAUAAUGGUAGUCCACUAAAUUUUUAAAAUGAUGUCCUGAAAUUCUUUUCAGAUUUCUUUAUUUUCAUUUAGAAUUAACCCCAUUGGUCUGAGGUUAGUUUAACGACGAUAAUGAUCAAAUUUUAUAAACUGUUCAUUCAAUGGUACUUAGUACUGCAAACUAAACUAUCGGCCCUUGUUUCACUGAGUCAUUGAUACUGUAAAAAUGUACAGUUGGAUUUUUAAUUAUCCUGUGACAAUGUCAAUUACCAUGAUAAUAUGAGUACAGACUUCACAAUUUUACAUAGAUACAAUCAUGAUUCUUAUUAGCUGUUAUUGUCAGAUUGGCUGACACUCCAGGUAUUAAAAGAGGCUUAGAAUCUCCUUCUGCAUGGAAGUCUCCUCUGUUCACACCAUUCAAGGUAAUUAUUUCAUUUAGGGAGUUUUUGGAUGAGGGAAUUGCUUUAGGAAUUUUCAGUUUGAACUACAGUCUACUGCUCGAGGAUUUCGUACAAAUAAUCUUCCUAAUCUUUGUUAAGUUCAGGUUUUAUCGCAAGCAAUAUUCCAAUACUUUCGAAACUGAUUCUUUUGGUGCUUUUAAUUCUUGUACUGUUAACUUGCUAUGCCUCAGAGAAGGACCAUAUUGUCUGGAUUAGUAACUGUGUGCUUGAAAUAUUAUUAUUUGUCACACUGGGAUGACUGCUUUAUUUUGUAUUGUUCUUUCAGGAUGCGUACUUCAUGAGCCCAGCAAGCAGAUCGGUCGAUGCCUUAGGAUUGGUGAAGCAGAUUAAUGAGCAGAGUGCUGCUGCUCUAGAGGAAGCGCAUGAGGUUCUGGCAAGUGGUAGCCCAUGGAAACGACAUAGCAAGGAAAACUCUGACAAAGAAAAUAUAGAAAAUGUAGCUUGGAAGAAUGAACUUGCAACAAGCAAAUCUCUAUCCAAACUCAUGGUAUGUAAGCUCCCGACCUAACUUGCUAUUUCUCAUUAUUGCUAAAUCAAAAUGUUCAGAAUAUACUAUUGCUAAAACCUAUUACUUUGAGCCUUAAACUGAUCAGAAACUUGAAUUCCACUUGGUCAAAAUCAGGACAAAUAAGUAACUGAAUGAAAUAGGGAGAAAUCUACGGACCUCCUAUAAAUCACCUGUCCUGUUGUUUCUUCCUUGUAUUCCUUUAUUUUCACACUCUUUAAUUGAAAGCACCAUCUGAAUACUUUGAUGGUUGCAUUCAAAUUUUUGAGUUGGGGUUCCAGGUAUGAACCAACCAAUGCAUUUCUCAGACGUGACCAUUCACUAUUUACACAUUAGUUGUGUGCAUAAUCAAAUUCUAGUGGACGUGGACAAUCAGGUCAGUUGGCUAAAUUCACGUGGCUUAGAUUAUGCCUUCACCUUUGAGGAAGAUAAACGAAACUGAGAUUUGGUGAAGUGGAAAACAAACAUGGCUUAUGAGGUUUUAUAGACUUGCCUUUGAUUGAAAAGCACACAAGUAACUGACUGAAACAGGAUGCUGAAUCCCAAGCAGUGGGGCACCUCUUUUUAUUAUUCAAAAGCUCAAUAUUUGAUUUAUUCUGCAGGCAGAAGGACGGGUGCUCGAUUUCAAUGAAUGCUCCACGCCUGUGAGGAAGAAAGAAGAUAAGAAAAUGGACAUAGGAGGAUCGGCGAGCUCCCCUGUUGCUUCCUCUUAUCUUCGGAUGAAUGUGCGGUAGCUCUUUUAGGGAGACUUGGGGCAUGCUUCACCGAUGCUGUUGAUCAGUAUGUACAUGUCUGUUGUUCCCGUAAAUUCAUACCCUCCUUGCCCCCUCCCCCCUUUUGAUAUACACAUUCCAAUUAGCCCCUUAUUCUUUGUAUUUGGCACCCGAAAAGUCAAUUAUAAAAGGCAACACAAUUUGUGUAAUGUUUUUUUUUACGGGAACAAUUUGUGUAAUGUUGAGAGACAUAUCUUUUGACUUUAUAUCCUAAGGGUAUAUAUUUAAGUUCUGAGUACGUUAUGAAAUCUUCUUAUUGUUGUUGUGGUUGGAUCUGUGUGUGCCUGCUCUCCAAAGCAAGAGUUAGGCGAUUGGAAAGCAAGUAAUAACUCGUGCAUGAAAUUAAGGAGAUAUGCACUAUACAACAUUAAAUUUGGAAAUUAGUACGUACUUAUAAUGAUUGACAGUGAACAGGGUAAUCUGGCUGGCAGCUGGUUGCCUCCCAUAAUGGUUGGCAGAAGGGAACUAGGCUAAUUUCCAGGAUGUAGAAAGAUAUCUGUGCAAUUGUGGCUAUAUUUUUCUUUGCAAUAAUGAAGAAAAACACACAACACACGUGCAGCUUAUCCAUGCGAUCUUUUCUUUUUUGGAAGCAUUCACCAUCCAUGCAAUCCGAAGUGUGCCUCCCACCCAUCUUGAGAGGAAAGUGGUGGCUCUUGGGAUGUGGCGCGGGCAGAGAGUGGUUCGUGACUUGUGAGUUGAUGAUGAACCAGAGCAUCCCUCUACCAAAUGGUAUCUCACUAGGAGGCAGGGGAGAAAUGGUGAUGAUUUCCUGGUCUCGAUAAUUUCUUGGUGUAAAUUAGACUAAAAGAACCCUUGGCCAAUGAUAAGAAAUUAUCAACAAGAACCAUACCUCACCCAUUUGGAAAAAAGAACACUAUCGAAAGUCUUUGAUAUCAUGCAUUGUUUUAUUCGUGUUUUAUCUUCUUAUCCACUUCUGGAAAUUAGAUUGUUAGUCUGAAAAUUCCUCAAAUCACUAGUUAAAAGUCCCCGCAAUCAAGUGUUUGAGCUCUUGUUAAUAGUGUAUGCGCAGGCUUUAUUAAGAAUAAAAUGGAUAAAUGCAACCCAAAAUUAAACGACAUGUACGUUCAUUCUAUACUACAAAAGUACAGCUUCACCGAAAAUAUCAUAACUAUAGGACACGAUCUUCUAAUUACACUUUGACCAUUCAUUUAUCUUAUAUUAUAUUGUUUAUGGUUAUAAACGUAUGAUAUAUUUGAUUAUGAAUCCAGUCAUAUAAAGUUUACUAUAAAAAUAAAAAAUUGAUAGUUAAAUUAUUGGUUAAAGAUUGUAAAAUUUGAAUCUUGAUAUGCUUUUUUUUUUGCGAAGUGCGCCUUACAAACACAAACGGAGGGAGUAGUUAUGCAUUUUCUUCAUGUGGAAGGAAAAAUUCAAGAAAAGUGCCUAGAUGAUUAAGUUGACCCCAAGUCGUCGUUCAAGGUCUUUGCAUCAGUUGGACUGUACCAAACCAAAUGAAAAAUCACCAUUCCUGUCUCUUUCAGCAUUGAAUUCAUGUUUGACGAUUAGAAUUUCCGAAGAACUAAUGUUAACAGCUGGCCUUUCCAGGAAGCACAAAUUAAAACCUGAACUUGGUAGUACAGUUGAGCCAGAGAUGCAUUAGUCGUCACCUCUGUCCUCUGGAACCGAGUGUAGUAAGCUAUGAUCCCCUUCUUCUUGCAUUGCUUUCUUCUCUUUUUCUUCUUCCCUGGCUCCGGUGCUGAGGAAUUUGUAUACAAUGGAUUCGCAAACGCUAAUCUAAGCUUUGAAGGUGAAGCUUCUAUUGAUGAGCGUGGUCGCCUGGGACUAACAACUGGUCUUGACAUAGUCGGAGUCGGCCAUGCUUUCUACAGAUACCCUAUAAGCUUCAGAAAGACCCCCAGCGAUCCUGCCAUGCACUCCUUUACGACAUCGUUCUUGUUCGAGAUGACAUCUUUGUAUGAACAUUAUGGUUCUACUCCAGGAAGUGAUGGGGUUGCCUUUGUGAUUUCUUCCACCAAUAAGUUCUUGAACGACUCCUUAUUACCAGGUCCGUACCUAGGCCUCUUCAAUAUGUCAAAUAGGAGCAGCGCUUCCAGGAAUAUACUCGCCAUUGAGCUUGGUACCAUCAUGAAUCCUAAGUUGAACGACAUAGACGAUAACCAUGUUGCGAUCAAUAUCAACAGCUUGAUUUCAGUUAACUACCAUACUGCUGGCUUCUACACCCCGGAUGGUGGGUUCCAGUCCGUGAGACUAAACAUGGAACAAGUAUUCCAGUUAUGGGUAGAUUAUGAUGGAAAAGCUCAGCAACUAAAUGUCACCUUAGGGUUUCCCGGGUCACCUAAACCCAAGUAUCCACUACUAUCCAACACUUUGAAUCUGUCAUCUUUGUUACCAAGUGAGCUCUUUGUUGGGUUUUCCGCAUCAACGAGCACAUUGUCAACCAGGCAUUUCAUUCUUGGCUGGAGCUUCAAAACAAAUGGGGAAGCUUCACAGCUCAACUACUCUGCGUUUGUAGAAGGGUCUGCACCAGCAGGGCCAGGGUUAAGAUUUAAUAUUUCUCAGGAAAUAGUUCCAAAUCCUAAUCACCGAUCACAGAGAGCUCGCACACCCUUGCAUGUGCUUCUACCUGUAGUUACUUUAACUUCAUUGAUCUUGCUUGUUAUGUCUGCUGGCCUUGGUUAUGGCUAUAAGAAAAGGCAUUCGAUCGAAGCAAGCAGCUGGGAAUACGAAAGAAUCAGAUUGGGAGAUGAACUGUGGUCCACCUUCUUUCACAUACAAAGAUCUGGUCAGUGCUACUGGUGGGUUCAAAGACAAGAUGCUCCUUGGUAAGGGAGGUUUUGGACGGGUCUACAAAGGAUUCCUCCCUGCCUCUAAGCAGAAUGUUGCAAUCAAGCGGAUCUCCCCUGAGUCGAAGCAAGGGACCAAGGAGUUUGCAUCCGAAGUUACCAUAUUAGGUCAUGUUCGCCACCGGAGUCUUGUUCGUUUACUUGGCUAUUGCAGGCACAAGCAUGAGCUACUCUUGGUGUACGAUUAUAUGCCCAAUGGCAGCCUUGAUAAAUAUCUGCAUGGUCAAGAUAAACCUGCACUAGGUUGGUCUCAGAGAUUUUGCAUCAUCAAAAGUGUUGCAUCUGGACUCUUCUACCUCCAUGAGGAAUGGGAACAUGUGGUCAUCCAUCGAGACAUUAAGUCAAGCAAUGUCCUCCUUGACGAUGCAAUGAAUGGAAGGCUGGGUGAUUUUGGCCUUGCAAGAUUACAUGACCACGGAGUGGAUGCUCACACCACACGCAUAGCAGGAACAUUUGGCUACAUUGCUCCCGAGCUGGCUAGACUUGGCAAAGCAACCAAGGCGGCUGAUGUUUUUGCAUUUGGGGUGUUUAUGAGGGAGGUUACAUGCGGAAGGCGGCCGGUUGAGGUAAAUGCUUGUGGAGAGCCUCAGGUGCUAGCUGACCAUGUGAUCAAUGCAUGGCAAGAUGGCUCAAUCAUGGACUCCAGAGACCCUAGACUGGAAGAUUGUGUAGCGCAGGAGGUAGAGAUGGUUUUAAAGCUAGGACUCCUAUGCUCACACCCAUCACCCAAGGUGAGGCCUGGCACGCGCUUGGUGAUGCGAUACCUGGAAAAUGUUGCAACACUCCCUGAUUUCCCACUUAAUUUCUUCAACGCUGAUCCAGCUAAUGAUGAAGUGUACGAUCAGUUUGUUGCCUCUGUGGCGGCCGCGACAAUCAGUCUUUCUGGUGGAAGAUGACCCUAUUGUUAUGAUCAUAGUUUCUUUUAUGGCUGAUAAUGCAAAACAGCUACAGUUACACAUAGAUGCAGCUAUUGUAUUUUACAUAUAAUAUCAGAUUGUAACUGUAGUAUGAAGCAUAUACAGGCCGGAGUGUAUAUUUGCAUGGUUUAUGUGAAAACUCGUGAGAUAAGUGGAUCCUCCAGAUCGGAAAUUUACAUAAAACAGUCAGGCAAAGCGUCAUCUUCCCAUACGUUAGUUUGAGCAAAUGCGUUACUUCAGAUCUAAAAGCAAAGAAAGAAACCUUCCCUUUCCUGACAUAGCAUCCAUGGACGUUUCAAGCACGCGUCUUCACCAAACGGAACCAGAAGCAUGCUUGAAUCUCUCUGCGCAAAUAGAGCUGCUACAUGCGACACUUUUUUUUCUCUAGAAAUUGCGUAAAUUGUUUAGCCCUACUCUUUUUGAAAGAUCAGACUGACAAUACAAUUCUUUUUUUUUUUCGAAGCAACUGACAGUACAAUUCUGCGACUCUGAAUCAAUUGAACAAAUUUAUUACACUAUAGCUCUACAACUAAAAACUGAUUUAUCGAAGCUACUAUAUCCAUGUUCACUCACUGCCUUAACGCAACAAACCAGAUCAUGUACAACAUUUUGUUCCCCUGAUAUACCUAGCUUUAUAUGUACAAUCUUCUGCACAACAAGACUAUGAAGGGGAACCUUUAUUCUGCACUGCUUCACCUCCCGAAUGAUACGACUUACAACAUGACAAUCAAAUGAAUGAGACUGUGAACAACAGACAGGAGAAACCAUCUGAUUGGGGAACCCAGAUUCCUUCCAUCCAACUCCCACAGAUAAAUGAGCAAAUGUCCUGUCCUAUUGAUAUUCACGAGCAUGACCGGACAUGACGAACAAUUCAAUCAGACUAACGCAUGAAGGGGGGGGGGGGGGGGGGGGGGGGGGGUGCUAAGUCAAGUCAAAAUUAGAUGUUGCCACUCUGAAGACCGUUUGGACUUGAAAGACCUUGUACAUCAUGAGAGAAUGCAAACUUGGGUGGCAACUCCAUUAGAGGCUCAUCUCCAGUCUUGUUCAGAAUGGCCAUGGCCAGGGCAUACCCAAGUGCACGGCCGACAGGUACUGCCACUGCAUUUCCAAUCUGGCGAUACCUGCAACCAGGUUCAACACAUAGGAACUUAAUCUACAAACUGGACAACUGUCAUUUGCAUUAGGAGCUAAAUUAAAGCAUCAAACAGAUUAGAACUUCACAUAUGCCGAGUCAUAAAGAAAUUGGUAAUGCAGAAACAAUUUUGGAUCCAGGUAUAUGCCAAUUGUUAAAAAUUCUUUUUUAAAAAGAAAUACCUGUCUUUGACUGUUCCACGAAACCUGAAGCUGUCGGGAAAACCUUGCAAACGAGCGCUUUCGCGAAUAGUUAGUAGUCUGUCUUGUGCAGGAUGUAUUAAGGCCUGAGAGUAGUAUGUAAGGAUAUAUAUUGAAAUCAGAAGCAAAGUGAAAGAAGGGAUAGCGGCAAAAUCAAGGGUUACAGCUCACCUGCAUUCGAGCAUUUGGACAUGUCAGCACGGUUCCCACUACCUCAUCCCACCAUAGUCUACCGUAUGGUCUGCAACGUGUUACAAAAAAUGAACCACUAAAACAUGAAUGCGGAAACAUGCACAUAUUAUAAAUCGAAAUCAAUUGAAACCAACCUUAAGGAUUUACCAUGCUCGUAAUUUAGCACACAAUCAAUCACCUGACGUACAUUGGGAAGUUCAUCAAAAUUUACAUGAAAUAAGAAGUAUAAUGUAUCUCAAAGGUGUUUGUCUCGAGCAUCUUACCAGAGGAUUACCAGAUGGCAAAAGUAUUCUCUCCUUAGUUGGAUCUAAUCUAGCUACAUUGUCAGGACCUACUAUGACUCCCGGAAGGUCUCGAAAAUUAGCUCCCUGAAACAAGACUCAUGAGAUUGUGGAGGUUUCUUUAACCUGAAGUUGAAGUAUAUAUGUAAAAACAAGCAUCUCAGACAACCUUUUUCUUGGGAAUCUGCAAUACUCUUAAGUAGUUAUCAUUAUCUAGUGCCCUUGGUCGAUGGUCAUACAAUUUUGACUUGGAAUCUUUUGUGACAUGAGCUCUGGAUCCAAUCACUUCUGGACAGGGAAGAAAGACAAUUUGAUCAUGUGAGAGUUUUGCACCAUAGCUAUCAUGAAGCGAUACUGACGAACAUGGUUAUGAGAAUUUUCAGUUUCCCUUUUAGCUAUGUUUAUACUUAUUUUAUCAAACAAUUUCCCACAAUUUAUACUAAAUAAAUUGUCUUUCAAAUAACUUUAGGUAAAUGAAAAGUACCAUUACAAAAUCAUACAAGUUAAUUUAUUGUCUCUCAAGAAUGGAAUCGGUCAUCUCAAUAUUACUCUAGUAUACAGAACAGAUAUUACUCAACAUGGCAUGAAAAGAACACUGGAGUUUCUUGCUACACAAAUGUAAGAAAUCAACACACCAGAAUUAAAUGACCGAAUGUAUCUUUGGAAUUCCGUCUGAGGUCCCUUUACAUAUAGCAUUUCUUCACGCUUUUCUCCAUUCGCCACCUACCAAAGAUGUUCACAGUAGCUUCUGAAUCAAAUGGCUCUUAAGGGAAAAUUGUAUAUAUACCUCCUAAAGUCAGCAAAUGAACCCUGAUAAGUCAUAAUUAAAGUACCCUUUUAUAUUGGACUGGGGUAGCCCCAGUCCUACUAACUUGAUUUUAUUUUAUUCUUCAGUGACAUGGUCUAGGAAAGUGCUAGUUCAACUAUGGACAAGGUAAGGUUUAUCAUGACAAGGUAGGUCUGGAAUCUCUAGAGAUUGUUACUUACUUCCGGAAGAUCAGAUAAAGCAUCUUCAAGAACAAUUGGUUUUUCUAGUUGCAUUGGCAUGCCGUCGGGCCACCCAACCAAAUUACGCUACAAAAAAGAGAAAAGAACAUUAUUGUUAUUUCACCACACAUACUAAUUCUCAGUAUAAGGGGAAAAUGUGCACAAAGUUACUAUAGGUUGGUAUGUUGCAUUAAAUGGGAACAGUAUUUUCUAAACAAAUGGAUACCAGAGCAGAAAUAAGCAUAUCCAUAGAUCGACCAAAUUCAGUAAAUCAUAUUUACCUCGAAAGCCAAUGGGCAACCAUUCUUCACAAUUGCCUCAUGAGUAGGCAGAGGAAAUGGGGGUAAAUUCUACAGGGUAGAAGUACAAUAAUAAGGAGAAAACAAAACAGAAGAAAGUAACUUCCUAAUAUAGGGGAAAUAUUACUUGCCUCCUUAGGAUGACAGCCCAACAAAAAUACACGCAUUCGAAAUUGUGGGAGGCCAUAACAUCCAGCAGCCAUGAUUCCUAGUUUUGCUUGAUAAUUCAUAGCAACUAGCCGGCUUAGAGCAUAUCUUGCAAGUGUUGCAUCAGCAAACUUCAAUAUAUCAAGAACAUUUUCCAUAUAAAUGUAUUUGGGCUUCAAAAAUUGCAUUACAUCCAUGAAGACAAUAAUUUGCUUGUUUCUCUCACAGUUGAAUGGUGCAUCAAAUUCUCUAUUGCGGUUGUAGCCGCUAAUGCCUUGGCAUGGUGGCCCCCCACAUAUGACAUCCACAUCACCCUGAAUUCAUACAAGAUAUCAGAAGGAAUGUUGAGUAAUGUGAUUGUAGCAAGUUUUUUUUUAAAAAAAAGUAUCUGUAGCCAGUCACAACAAUACCACACCAGUCACAUUAAAUAACCAGUAUUAACAAGAAAGAAUCAUUUAAUGAGUAGCAAUUAGGUAUUAAUUGCACACAGCUAGCAGCAAUGGAGGCGAGGCUGUCAUGGAGAAAGAAGGGGAGGUUCCUGGUGAAAAAGAGAAGAAGCAGUGCAUUCAUGCUACCAACGUCUUGCAUCUUUGAUAUUACAUUUGUUAUCGUUCAUUUUUCAAUGCGUGGAGGCAAUUUCAGUUUGCCACAUAUAAUUUUGAUUAUUCGCAAAUACAAGUUUGCCACCAUAAACACACUAUUUUCAUGAUUUUUGGUCAAAGAAAGCCACAUGGUGCUAUUAAUAUAAUAAACUACCAUUUUGAGUAAAUGUUCUAACAAAAUGCAUUAACGUAUGUAAGAAGCUACCGAAUGUAAAAAAAAAUCCACGUGAAAUGGAAAAAACAAGAUAUCCCAUCAAUCAUUUAAAAUUGCUUAGUUCACUCCUGCAUUGAGUUUGUUAAUCUCUAUUUCUUAUAUCACAAUUGAAGUUAGACCACUAGAUUUUUACAUCUAGAGUAUAGAAUGUUUUAUUUUUGUUCUCCUUUUCUUUUCUUUACUGAUUUAUUUAUUUAUUUAUUUAUUAUAUUUUUGGCUUGGAUAAGAUGUUGAGUGCAGUUGACAAGUUGACAUCAUAUGCUUUUUUGAGUCAACUAGCAUACAGUUCAUAGCAUGAGAUUCAUGUUGAACUCAAGCAUUAAUAAGACUUACAGGAAUAGGUAAUAUUUUUCCCUUAUGUCCUUCAAUUACAAAAUCCCUAAUUGCAUCUUUACAGUUCCUGCAAUAACAAAAGACAAUUUGUUCAUAUCAUAGUGAAGGCAGUACAGGUAAGUUUUAAAUCUUCUAUUCUUACUUUAAUCCUUCAAUUGGCUCCCAUGUGUCAUCAUUAGGGCCAUAACCUUUCCAACGGACCUACACAUAUGAUAAGGAAGCUCAAUUAUUUCAGUACAAAUCAUCUAUAUGAAUACAACAAUAAACAGAAAAGGCAAUGAUAUAUACAUGCAAUUUCUACACUAAAGAACAAACAGCCUUGAGCAGGCUUGAGGCUUAGAGGCACAGAGCCAAGCUUAUUGUUGGAUCAAAUAACAAGGAAAUUAUUCAUAUAUUUAAAAAGCGUUGAGUCCUAUUUAUUAAACUAAAGAGUAGAAGUGCAAAUUUCUAUUUGCAAGUGACGAUUCUGACAAGUAAUUAAGUUGUCACUCUGUAACUACAAGGCUAAAGCAAGCAAAUCAUUACAAACCUUAAAGUAUAAGCCAUGCUUUCCGACACCAUUUGGAUCACCGAAACAAAUGUCAACUAGCUUCCAUACUUCAAAUUCUUCAGGAGGGAUUGUAGAACAAUCUGGAGUUUCAUCACUGGAUUGUACUGAAAUGUUAGAACGGGACUUCACUUUACUGCGUUGCUUCACAUAGGUUUUGCAUAGUUUUUCCCAUUCCCUCAACAACUCAAGGAAGUCAUCGGUGGUUUCAUUCCGGACCUACACAACAAGCAUAUUGAUGUGCAUAAAUGAGCCAGAAACUGACUUUUGGAUUUUAGAAUUAUAUUGGAACAACAUAAAGCACGAAGGUAAAUACCCGAGUUUCUGGAUGAUUCAGCCUGAAGCUUUCGCAUGCCACUUCAUCGCCAUCAACAGCCCAUCUCUAUUAAUGGUAAGGAAAUCAUUAAAAAUGCAAAAAAAAUACUAUACUAAGCCACAGAACAUCUAAGAUGUUAAUGUACAAGUACCGCUAUAAGAUUCACACCACCACCACGAGCCCCAAGACAAAGUCCAGUUGACAUUCCCCCACAGCCACAGUACAGAUCUAACAGGGAGAGCUCCCUCAUCUCUGGUGCGGGAGAUUUCUGCUUUUCAGUGGAAUCAAUCCUUUUCACAUUGUCGUUGCCACUAGUGUGAUGUGACUGUAAUGUUUCAUUUGCAUCUCCUGAAUUUUGUGAACUAGAUUAAUAAGCUCAUAACUGUAUCAAAAACAUAACAGAACAAAAGCUAUAACAAUUACAAACUACAAGAUAAUACACUUCAAAUAAAGUAUGAUCAACAUGAUAAAAAAAAUAAGAAAAAGAUGCUUCAAUAUAAUUAAAAAGUUCAGAGAGUAGAUUUCAAAUCCAAGUGAUGAUUGAUUGGUCAUCAAUAUUGUGAGGCAUGUAACAUCUCUUGCAUCAAGACAAAUUGCUGUGUUUUAAAGAAACUCACCCAUUUCCAUGUUAGAGAAUGUACUAUAGUCCAGAGAAUACUUCAUGUCAUAGUAGUAGUGGAAAGAAGGAAUUGAUUGAGACUUUUCAUUUACCUGUAGCAUAAAAUGAAAAUCAUACUUCUCAUACAAACAAGUAUAUGUAAACCAAUACAAGAAAAUAUAUAAAUAUAAGAUGGAGUCCUACACUAGGAGAAACUUGCACGAUGGUCACUUUAGAAACAAUGCAGUCUAGUAAAUUGUCGUCCUUCAGGUCUGAGUAAAAGAGCCUCCUUGGGUCAUGAGCCUGUGCUUGGUCUUCCAUGACCUGAGAUCAAAUAAGAGGUCGAAAGCAUGACUAAGCAACCUAACAUAAACUGGAUUAUCAUGUUUGACUUGUUCAGGCUCAAACAUGAAGUGAUGUUUCACUAAUCCAGGUCACCUUACGAGAUCUUAUGUUUUUUAAGGCAUGCCUAAGUUCUAGGACAAAAAGCUAGGAGAACCAAACUCACCGUGUCUUCAGCUCUGAAAAACCACUGCACACUGAAGUAAUAUUGACCUGCACUCGUUUCGAAGAACUCUAAUAACCUGCCAAUAUAAUGUGGUUUUCCUUCCGGACCCUGUAAAAAUUAACCAUACUAAAGUUGUACAACAGCAAAGCAUGUGGUAUCAAGGUAAACAGAAUUUCAUACAACUAGACACGAUAAUCAUGCAAGCUACAAUUUGCAAUCAAGCAAAUGAUAUAGAUAGGCAUACAUACACAUGAACACGAUAGUAGACAAAAUAAAUUGAUCAAUGAUUUAGUUUUCUUAGUACUUGUGCGGACCAUUAAUUAGUUGAGAAGCCAUGAAAAGAACCAAACUGGACCUCAAAAUUCAUAACUCACCUUAAUAAAUGCACAAUCCCCAAUACAUAAAGUAGAUCCACAUACACUAGCUCGCAAAUAGUGACAUUUGACAUCGAAGACAGCUUUGCCAGCACUGUAAAUAUAGAACUUUUAUCGUGAGUAACUUCAAGUAUUCAAUAGUAGAUGUACAUAUUGAGCAUAAAAGUUAAUGCAUUUUGCUCACUUGGAAAACGUUUGGGUAUUUCUCCACUUAUCCUUCAAACAAAGAAGCCACAAGCCAAAUAGGUUACUUAAAUAAUGUCAACUCUUACAAAUUCAGCAUGGUGCAAACUAUAUAAGGUCGUAACGUUUGCUAAACAUAAGAUAAAAGUUUCAUAUGAGGACCUGCAAGUCACCCCUCAAGUGGCACACGCUACCCAACUCCUUACAUAGCACACAGAUGCAUGGGUAAACUAAUUGCAAGAUCGUAUUAUGGCACAUAAAGGAGAAAUUAGUUUCUUCCUGUUUAUUCAUACUAUUUCUUUGAUAGUUAUCUGUUUUCCUGUUGCAUGCAAAUUGACUUUUGAUCAUUAGUUGAUUUUAAAAUUGCAUUGUUGUGGAUGAAGAUAGAUAUUUGUUUCUUACAGCUUUUACUGACAAAUAACUUAAAUUGACUCCAAUAUUACAUUAUUCUGUUAAAUCUUACAGCUUUUACUCCCUAUUUUCCUGUUGGACUUCAAUCGAAACCUAAUCAUUCUUCCAUAAAUUCUAUCAUCUAUCCAAGCUCAUGUGGAAUGCUAAAAAUAGAAUGAAUCUAAAGCUCUGUUCGUUUGUCCCAUAUAGUCAUGUUAAAACCAUUGUUCAUUUUAUGGAAACAUUAUCCAGACAUAUCGAUAACUUCUAAGUUGAUACUGCAUAAGCAGUGAAACCUUACAAACCUGCAGCUAAGUCAUCAUUUUGUUUUCUUCUGGUAGAAGUUUAUUUUCUCUCUGAUUCCAGUUGUGACUUCCAAUUUAUGUGUGCUAGACAAAAUAUCUUGACUGGUGUCUACAGAAAUGCAAUUAUAAGGUAUACAGGAGCACACAGAUAGAUUUAUACUAUCAACAGCUUUAGUUAUUAAAUUAAACAAACAGAUACUUUAGGAUGUUAACACAUCUCUUUAGUGCCUCCCCUUUUCUAUUUCUACCACCUACGUAUUUCUAACAUGUAAUGCACAACUGACAUUUAUGUGUUUUAUGCUUUCAUAAAUACUUGAAUAUUGUUGGCGAGAGCACACCUAUCUCAGCAUUUCUUCUUACUAAUCGGAGAUUCUCAUCAAUAUUUACUUAUUAUGUGAUAAAAAGAUGAAUGUUGUUUUAGUAACCAAUUCCUCUCCCUUGAUGCUAAAAAUGUUAAAUAGAAUUUCAAUGAGCUAUUUGUCCAUUAUCAAUCUGUUAUACCCCAUAUCCAUUCUUAUAUAUUAAAUAAGUGUACGAUGAUGCAUCCAUGCAGAGAGCAGAAACAGUGAAGCCACAUGCCUACCUUCUUCAGAAGGCAAUGAUUGCUCCCGUAGCGGUUAGGCCACCUGUGCCUAGCCUCCUCGUGAGGCACUGCCUCACCCAUAAAGAAACAGGAACCAUCCUCGCCAUCCACCAUUUCAGAAUCAGUAGAAUACUUAUCCAAUAUAAGUUUAGGCUUAUUCUCAGGAUCUGAGGUCACUUUGGCCAUUGGCAAUUCGCUGAUUGAGCUACUAUCAUCCUUUGCCCUCCUCAAGUUCAAUGAGCAUUUCCCUGGGGAUACCCUGGCCCGCUUUGCCUUUGGAGGUUGAGAUGCUGCUGCCUGUAGCUCUAGGGGCAUCUCAUUGACCACUUUGUUAGCACUCACUAACCCAGAGUUGUGUAACACAGCAUCCACUCUCUCCAAACUGGGCUCAGAAGCAAGCUUGUGCUUCCUAGGAGGUGUAUCGGAACCUGCUUUAUGCAUAGUAGGCCCACAAUUAAUCACUGGAGAAACAGCUGAUACCCUGUUGGAAUUCACUAGUACCUUUGAGGCUGAUCUAGUCUUCCUUGGAGAAGACACAGGCACUGCUUUGUUCUUGGAGCUCUUUUUACUCACCACUGGUAAAGCCACCACAACAUCGGUAGAGGAGCUCUGCAUUGCAACAAUGUCUCGUGAUCCUUGCGGCUUCACCCCGUCGAGCAAGUCAACUGGCUUUAUUGGAGUAACCGUGGUCUCCUCAGGUGAGGUUGCGGAUAAAGAGUGCCGGCUCCCAUCACUGAUGCUGCUCUGCCCAGAAACCGCUAAGCAGAGCUUGGAAGCUCGAGGUGAGUCUAUUUUCUCUUCCAAAGAUGCAACAUUUGCUUUGGCCUUGAUUGCCACAAUCCUAGGGGACCUCCGGAGAGAUGCACCAUCUCUGGCAAGGGCAUCCGGCAUACUGCAGCUAGCUGCAUUGAUCUCGGGACGUUCCACCGCAGUCAAACCAAUAACCACCAUGGUUUCCGAGGUGAUUUUCUGCGAGGGGUACCCAUCCUCUGCCCCCAGUUCAGGACCAUCAGGAGAAGGCGGGGCCGGCGGUGAUGGCACCGAGUUGAUGGUGCACUCCUCUAGUUUGGCUUCAGAAGAAGCCGCUGGUGGUGGUAGCGCAGGCUCGCAGCCGGGGAUCAGCUCAGGCGCACGCACCUCUAAAGCCACCGGAGCUGGGGGGCACGGUGGCACCGGUGGAGCAGAAUCGGAAUCGAGCGGUCUCACCUCUAGCGCCGGUCCCGAUGAAGCUGCCUCAGUGGGAUCGGCCACGAACUCCGGGAACCCGGAUGGUGCCGCCGCGGGUGGGGGCACACCGCCCUCGCCGGCGACGAGCCCGGUGGACCUCCACGGCGCGCCGUCCCAGGGCCCCUCGGCGUCGCCGUCGCCGUCCUCGGCCUCCACCUCCUCCGGGGCGGCUGCGAAGCCCGCGCCGACGACGCCGAACUCCCUCGGCGGCGACCACAUGGGCUCCAGCUCAUCCGCGGGGUCGCCGAAGAGUUGCGACCAGAGGGGCUCGAGCUCCGCGCUGAACCCGGGCCCGCCCGCCUCGUCGCCCUCCGCCGCCCCGUCCCCCGGGGCUUCGGCGGCGGGGCCGGUCGCCGGCGGCGAGGCGGGGUCCGGGGGCGGGGGCUCCAUGGAGAUUGAGCACGCACGGGCACGGCACGGGGGGUUGCUGCGCUGGAGUGGGGACGACGGAUGGAAACGCCCCCCGAGGAAGUAAGUUUGGUGGAGUCAAUCGAUGGGCCAGUCGGCUGAUGCACUUUUCCACUGCCCGCGAGUUCUCGUUUUUGCUGUUUUCUCGCACGGCCUCGGCUGACUCGCGAGACGGUGUCGCCGACUGUAGACUUGAGGAUUUCCAUAUUCGGUAUGCGUGCAGCAUGCCAUGCCUGCGUCUUAUCCGGUUCUCCGUUCGAUUCCAUCCAUUUUCAGCAUAAAGACUUUCUCGGAGAAGUACGAUGAUCUACGUCAUGUUAUACAUUUACAGAACACCAACCUUUCCCGAUUUAGGACUAUGCAAUAAUUAUGUACGGAAAGAACCAUGUGUGUGUGGAGAACUCUAACACCCAAGUUUUAAAAUUACCCAACUAGUAGUAUAAUUAAGAGUUUUACUAACUCACCAAUCGAUUGAGGUCUUGCUUAUCUAUUAGAAAUUGAAUGGAGGUGGAAUUCGAGGUUAGGUUUGGGAUCUUACUCAAGUGCCCGGCUAUAGAGGAUGCUCUUGGGCGGCUCGCCGGCUGGCAGUGGAGACAAGAUGGCAGGAAGUGGAGGCAACGAAGGCGCCGCCGGAGCCGAGCGAUGGGGGACCCCUGGUGGGCAGUGGAGGCGGCAAGGGCGUCGAGGGUCAACUAGUUAGUGGCGGCAGCGGUUGUGGGCAACGCUUCGCUGCCAGAGCCGAGCAGGGAGGCGGAGGUUGCGGGGGAGGGAGCUUAAACAAACGAAGUUGAAGAAGAUAAAGUCGAUGUGGUCCAGGAGGAGAGAGAGGUGGGUAGAAGAGGAAGGAGGAUACCAUCGGCGGGUCGCACCGACCCUAGACACAUCCACUAAUGAGGUUGGUGGUAGCUGGAGAUGAUCGAUAGAAAACAAAAUCUCAAUCAGCUGAUGAGGCAGAGGAUACCAACAACUCUCUAAUAUUUUUUAAAAAUGCUGCUGCGCUUAGUUUACGUCAAUUUAAUUUUUUGUACAUUUUAUUCGUUAAUUACACUUAUGUUUCCCAUUUGAGCAUUCAUACAAUUAUCUUGUCUAAUCCAUAGAAUGAAAAUAUGCUAACUUUCGUACAAUAGGGAGUUGUGCUUGUGCGCAUGCAUGGCUCCUGCUUUUAGUAGAAUCCUCUUAAAGCAUCCCAGCAGUAGGAUGAGCCUCUUCGGCUCAUGAAGCUCCGAUCCAUCUUGGCUGAUGAUAUCAUCUGAUUACCUUUUGUGUAAGCGUGCCGUGCAAUCGUUAGAUAGUCGUAUGAGGCCAAUGCUGCUCGCGUGCGCAUCAUCAGCGGUGCACGGGUCACACGGGUGCACGAUUCACGACGGGAUGCGGGCAUGCGGCCGCCGAUGUGCCUCCAAGCCAGGCUUUCUGCCACCUCUCUCUCCUGGACGCCUCAACGAUGUCACGUUCACGCACUUUGUAUUGGCCUAUUGGGCCGUAAUGGGCCGGUCGUGUGUAUGGGCCAUUCGGCAACGUCUUGCAAGUUGCAAACUGAACGUGAGUUUAGAACUUUAGAUGAACCAGACAUGCAAGAAGCUCUCCUAUCCGGCAGAUUACGUCGACAUCUGCAAAUGACUGGAAGAUACAUGCUUGGCCAAUUGAGAAUGCAACCCAAUUGUGACUCGAGUAUCGCAUGUAGUACUCGGUAUCUUGGAGGACAAUUCAAACCAGGGCGUUCUCUUAUCCGAGCAGGACCAUGAAAUUGCCCCAGGCCAGGGACAAGGUCGGUUCGCUUUGCGCCGUGUGAGGCGGUUUCGUGUUCCUGUGGACGACGACGGCGGAUCAGGGUUGGAAUCGAACCCAACUGAGGCGCUGCCCUGCGGCUACGGUGCUGUUCGAAUCGUCGAGCUAAAAGUUUGUGUCAUAUCGAAUAUGCGGAGACUAAAUAUCGUUGGACUAAUUAGAAGGACUAAAUAUGAGUUAAUUAUAAAACUAAUUACAUAGAUGGAGGCUAAACGGCGAGACGAAUCUAUUAAGCCUAAUUAAUUCAUCAUUAGCAAAUGGUUAAUGUAGUAGCACAUUGUCAAAUCAUAGACCAAAUGGUUAAUAUAGUAGCACAUUGUCAAAUCAUAGACUAAUUAGGUUUAAUAGAUUCGUCUCGCCGUUUAGCCUCCAUCUGUGCAAUAGAUUUUGUAAAUAGUCUAUAUUUAAUACUCCUAAUUAGUAUCUAAACAUUCAAUGUGACAGGGGUUAAAGUUUAGCCCGGACAUCCAAACACCCCUAUAUAACCAACGCAAGUUAUCGGAGGUUUGUUUUAUUCCGUGAGAUUUUUGUAUGCAUGUAAUAAUCUUAUAUAGUUAUUAUAUGGUAUAUAUACCUGCUUUAUUAGUUUCGUGCAUUACUACUACUGUAGCUAACAACAAGACAAAAAGUCUUCUCUGAUCAAUUAGUGUUGCUACUACAACAAUAGUGGAUUGCUCCCAUCUGAUGGAUCCCGCCCAAUGUCCAAGACUAUUAGUGCCAUAGAGCUUGCAGAAAUCGGCGUCAAGAUCACAGCCAGCAGGACAACCAAGUUCAUGGACAUGGGCUUCAACAAAAAACUCCUCUGCAGCGAGAUUUUCCUUGCGCCACUGUUGCUGCUAGAUUAGUAGCAUUAGUGGCAUGUUGGCAGCCCACUUUUUAGCACAACCAAAAGCCCUGCCUGGCCCUCUUAACUAAACACCCGCCGCCUCCUCCACCACCUGGGCUGAAACAGGCCCGCCCAGCCACCACCGGCCCACCGCCCCGUAACGCUAUCUUUCUUUGGUAUGGAACAUUGUCACUGCUCUACUCUACGACGCCUUCGUUCACGUAAUCCCCGUUUUCCCCCUGCAAAAAAUGAUUUGUAGCAUUCAAACAAAGGCGUCAGUUACGUUGUCCCCAGGACCCCAAUUAUUUUUCUAGAAAUAAUUUUCAAAUCCUCUUGAAUUUUCAAAUUAUUUGAAUGUUUUUGCUCGAUGGCAUUACACUACAAAUUUGAACUGUUGUGCGCGUCAACCACGCGAUCAGCUACGGCGGUUCAACGGGCAGCGCCAUCUCAUCCCGUUCCACCGCAAGAAACGGGCGCCGCGCGCACCGCCGCCGCCUCCGGCGUCCUCGCGCGCCCACCUAUACAUAGCGACUGAGGCAGUGCUAUCAGCCGCAGAUGAGAUCCGGUACCAGCCCAGAAACACUAGCAGUAACAAAGAACCAUCGUCCCAGAUCCCACCAGCCAUGGCCGCGCUCCUCCUCGGUCCUCCCGCCAUCCGCGACGCCCGCCCGCCGCCACCCGCCUCUGACGCCGACGCCGAGUCAGACAACCACCCCUACCUCGACCUCUUCGUCAGGCGCGCCAAGGCCGCGCCCAAGGCCCGGCCGCGGAGGGUGCUCACCGAGAACGGCUCCGCCGCCUUCGCCAUCUCCGGCAACCCCUGCGUCGACUUCUUCUUCCAGGUCGUCCCCGACACGCCGGCGGCGCGCGUGCGGGGCCUCCUCGCCGCGGCCUGGGCGCGCGACCCGCCCACGGCGCUCCGCCUCCUUGCCAACCUCCGCGGCGUGCGCGGCACGGGCAAGUCCGACAGGGAAGGGUUCUACGCCGCCGCGCUCUGGGUGCACGCCCGACACCCGCGCACCCUCGCCUGCAACGUCCCGGCGCUCGCCGGGUUCGGCUGCCUCAAGGACUUCCCCGAGCUGCUCUACCGCCUCGUCCGCGGCGAGGACGAGCGCAAGCAGGCUAGGGAGACGGCCGCCGCCGACAGGAAGAGGCGGAGGGCCAAGGAGCUCCGCGCCGCGCGGCUCACCGCCAGGAACCGCGCCCGCGCCCGCGCCCGCCUCCGUCGCGCGCCGCCGCCGCCUCAGGCCGUCUCGGUGGUCCCGCCUAAGCCUUUGCUCGCCGACUUCGUAGCCUCCAUGCUCUCCGCCAAGUUCAACAUCCGCGACGUGGUCCCCGUCGAGACCAUGGAAGCAGAGGAGGAGGAGGAGGAGGAAGAUCUGGCGCCGGUCAUCGAGCCAAAACCCAAAAAGGCGGUGGUCGCUAAAACGCCGAAGAACAAGAAGGAGACCACCCCCCGCAAGAAGGCAAAGAAGGCCAGGAAAGCGGCCAAGCUCGCCGUGCAAUCGCUGGAGACGUACAACGGCGACCGCACCUACCGCUUCCUCUUCGACAGCAUCGCCCAGUUCUUCGCCGAUCUCCUCGCCUCCGACCUCGACCAGCUCGCCCAUGCCGGCGAGCGUGCCAAGAUCGGGCUCGCCGCCAAGUGGUGCCCCACGCCGGGCUCGUCCUUCGACCGGACGACGCUGCUCUGCGAGGCCAUCGCGCGCCGCCUCUUCCCCAGGGACUCCACCCCCGACUACGCCGACCUGACGGAGGAGCACUACGCCUACCGCGUGCUCCACCGCCUCCGCCGCGAGGCGCUGGUGCCGCUCCGCAAGGCCCUCGAGCUCCCCGAGGUGUACAUGAGCGCCCAGCGAUGGUCGGAGAUGCCCUACGCCCGCGUAGCAUCGGUGGCGAUGAGGCGCUACAAGGCCCUCUUCAAGAAGCACGACGCGGCGCGCUUCGGCGAGUACCUCGACGACGUGGGCGCCGGCAAGGCCAAGAUCGCCGCCGGCGCGCUCCUGCCGCACGAGAUCGCCGCCCCGGCCUACCGCGGCGAGGACGACGAGGUGUCCGAGCUGCAGUGGCGGCGCAUGGUGGAUGACCUCCGGAAGAAGGGCUCGCUGAGCAACUGCAUCGCCGUCUGCGACGUGUCCUGGAGCAUGACCGGCACGCCGAUGGAGGUGUGCGUCGCGCUGGGCCUGCUCAUCUCGGAGCUCAGCGAGGAGCCAUGGGCAGGCAGGGUGAUCACGUUCAGUGCGAGACCCGAGAUCCAUGCCAUCAACGGCGAUACCCUCCGGCAGAAGCUGAGCUUCAUCCAGCGGAUGCAUUGGGGCUAUAACACCAACUUCCAGGCGGUGUUCGACCGCAUCCUCCGCACGGCGACGGACGCCCGGCUGGCUCCGGAGAGGAUGAUCAGAACCGUCUUCGUGUUCAGCGACAUGGAGUUCGGCGAGGCGUCGUCGGCGCGAUCGUGGGAGACCGACUACGAGGCCAUCUGCCGCAAGUUCGUGAACGCCGGGUACGGCGGCGUGGUGCCGCAGAUCGUGUUCUGGAACCUGAGGGACUCGCUCUCCACGCCGGUCACGUCCACGCAGCAGGGCGUCGCUAUGGUCAGCGGCUUCUCCAAGAACUUUGUCAAGCUGUUCCUGGAGCACGACGGCAUCGUCAACCCGGAGGCUAUGAUGGCCGCAGCGAUCGCUGGUGAGGAGUACCAGAAGCUUGCCAUCUUUGACUGAAUUCUGCGCUCUCCGUCCUUGGAUUACGAUGAGAAUAAACAACGUCUCAAGUGAGAUGUUAGCAGAUGCCAUAUGCAUCAUUUCUUCAUCUGUAAUCAUCUGUAGUUUUUCUUUUGACUCAAAAGUUUCAAUCGAGUUUAGGCAAAUUCGGUGGGUUGCUAUGCAAAAGAAAACCCAAUGUAGGAUCUAUUAUGUUUUCUUGCUUUGUCAUGACUCAUGAGCCUGGGUUAGCUUUGUUUCACAUAUGGAUUGAAUGCCAAACUCAUGGCUUUCAAGAAAAGUAACAUAAACCCAAAAGCCCAUUCGAAAGUAGCAAGAAACCAUAAAGACAUUUGAAAAGUAAUGAUCAUCGAGUAUUUUUUAGGGCUAUAUCUUUUUAUUUUGUUAGGGCUAUAUCUUUUUAUUUUGUUAGGGCUAUAUCUAACACAAAAUAAUUUGGACAUCAUCAAUGGCAUGUAUAACUAGUGUAUCCAAUAUGUUUGUUUAAUACAGUCAUCACUGCUGCUCUGAACUAUCGACGAUCUCCAUAAAAAAGUUUCUAGCCCAAAGGUAUCUGCGCUUGAACAAUCCUCAGAAAGUUGAAUCAUUCUGCAAUGCAAUGCCACCUCAGGAGGAAGAAGAGCGCCAGCGGUGGCACGAUCCAAGGAGGGUGCCGCGGCGGGUAUAGCGGAGGUCGACGAACGCCGGGGCGGCGUCACCUCACCAGCUGCCGUGAGCGGCCCGGGAUAUUUUGCAUAUAGACACCGCACAAUUUUGAAAUAACACCCUAAAUUGGAUUGCGAUUAAUGAUCGCGAUCAGAAAAUUUGCAAUUACAACCCUGUAUUUUGCAUAUAGCACCCCGUUUGUUGGCCGCCACCGUCCUCCGCGCCCGUCCGCCGGGAGCGCAGAGCGCCUUCCCACCCACCAUUCCCGCAUCCAAUACCUAGCAUGAACAAGCUCUCCAUGAAUUGCCAGAACAGCUCGUCACCAAGCGAGGAGCCCAAUGGCUAGGGCGGCCGUCCCGUGGCGUCCCAGAGCUGCGGCCGUUGUUAGGCCUGUCAGCCGGAGUCACUCCGGCCAAGAACAAACGCACUCAAGAACACGAUGAACAGAGAUGAGAUUGACUCAGUGGUUUGCGCUGCACAACUGCCUUGCAGCUUUUCUUGGGUUUUCUCCUUUUAUUUACUGCGAUUACAAACGCUAAGGGCAAGUACAUUGCUACACGUCAGCGGUCUCAUAGGUCGUCUCAUACAGUGCCACGUAGGAUUUUUGAUGAUGUGGAGGAGAGAAAGCGAGGAGAGAGAAAGAUGCCGUUGCUUCGCGAAACAACCACCUCAUGAGCUAAAUUGUAGGACUACGAGACAACUUAACAACCAUUAUACAAGUUAUUGUUGCCAUGCAACUCAUAAUAUUUUAUUUUUCUUAUACACAAAUUAAGGAAUUAUAUACCACUACCAGACAACUUAUAGGACAACUCAUUGUACAUGUUACCUGUUGAGACCGUCUAUUAGACAACAACAAUGUACUUGCCCCUAAGCAAAGGGAAAGGCCGGGCUUAGUCCAAGCCCCAGCAUGCGCGCGCCAUGGCCCGCAAAGCUCGUGCGCCAUCCCACACUCGUACUGGCCAUGCCGGCAUGCCGCGUGACACACGCGCGCUACUGAGCGUGAUCACCACGCCAUUUAUCUAGGACUCUAACAAACCAAAAACGAGCAAACACAGGUUUACAUAAGUUUCAGAUAACAAGGCCCAGACGCUCGUCGUGGCCGGAACCCGGUCUGUGCUUUGCCUGCAGCCGCAGAGCUGCACUGCCGUGUUUGCCAUCAGGCAUCAGUGAUCGAGAUUCGAGAGCCAGCUAUUGCGGCCACGAGGUGGCGUGGAGCCUGAUGGUUCUCGCCCAUCUCAGAUGACCGCGAGGUGUUCGCAGAAAUGCUUCUCAAGUCGGCCGCUCCUUUGCUUCUCCAAGCAAAUUGGACAGGGACGGCUGAGCGCGACACAUUUUCAGGCGCCGUGCUCAAAUUGGCGGAUGUGCAGUCGAGGUGGGCGCCGCCGCCUCUCUUGCACAGCUUGGUCUCAUUGCAAUUCUGAAGCGAUAAGGACCAUGAAAUGGCAUGCCGAAGUGCUGAACAUCUAGGACAGGCUUGCAAUAUGCAUCGCCUAGCUACUCCAGUGCACUGUCAAGAGGAAACCAUUUGCGUGAUGAUGAGAGUAGAUGGUAGUUCACGUGCUAGAUUUCUCUGGGCUCUUUUGGGUUUCUGAUGCUGCAUCAGGUUCCAUUUCUCUGGUUGAGGUAAAUUCCCAUGCACAAUCUCUGUUUGAGGAGAAGCUGCUAGAGAGGGAGAGGGGGAAAACUAGUUUCUUCCGCUCAGCCUUUCUCACAGUUCGUGGAGGGUUCCCUCACUCGGCCGCCCAGAAAGAGCCGGUGGCCGAGUGCUCCAAUCAGCAUGGCAGGGAUUGGUUCAGGUUCAGGCAUUUGUGGUGGUCGUCGUCAGGUUCAGAUGUUCACCGUGCACUGCCGUGUUAGGGGUCGAGGUUCAGGUGAGACGAACUGUUCAAGUACAGGUCCCAUCCCCGACCUGCAUCUGCCCAUCUGAAACCUCCACCCUUUCUCUGCUCAGUGCUGACAUGUCAGUGCCACUGCAAUCUCCUUCAGUUCUCUGGCUCACUGUCAAGCUGAAGUCCAUACCUGACCGGUUAAUUUGGUGUGCUCAAGAUUAAGACAAAUUUAGUAGUGCACUAUCGCGCAGUGGACACUAAAGAGGGACCGGAAAAAGUGAAUGAUGGGUCCAACUCCAAUGCAGAACUGCGUAUCAAAGCCUGAAAGCUAUGUUCUCUCCGAUACACUAUCUCCUUACAAAGCAGCAUAUUCUGAUUCGUGAAAGAAAAAAACCACGGGAGUUAUUUUUGUUCUGCGAAAUCGAUAGCUCCAAUCAGGAACUGAAAGGGCAAAUAAGGUCCUACACUCAUAGGUGCCUGUACAAAUAACGGAUGAUAAGAUGGCCUUACAUAUUCAGAUUUGAAUUGUCACAUUGUUCUGCAGAGAUUCAAGAAUUCAGCAUUGUUGCAAUACAUGAUAGAAAGUUUAACAAUGCCGAAAUGAUUACUCCUUCAUUCUUCCGGUACUGUCCAUUUAAAGAUCCAUCGAGUCUUUUGCGACACCAGUGUUUUGGUAAUAAAACAAGUACAGAAUGGUCACCUCAUACUUGCUGCUACUACUAUAUAAUCCACCAUUCAUAGUAAAUGGAGGUACAACUCUCAGGGAAAGUAAUUGCUGCAAACUUGAUGGCGAAAAACUAACUUCAUUUUCCUGCUAGAUGAGCGUGAAACAGCAUUCACCGUAAGUUACAAGAGAACCAGGAGUUCGCAGUGGCUACAUGGGGACUGUUCUCUUGUUCUUGAUUAUCUGAAACAGGCACUUCCACAGAAAUAUCUCCUGCACAAUCAUUCAAGAUGGUUUAAAAAAAACUUUGAAUACCUUGUAGUUACCUUAUAUAAUUAUCAAAAGUAAUGGUCAAAGUCUACAAUGAAGAUUGUAAAAUGUCAAAUCCAGAAUAAAGAUUGUUUUUUGGUUGCAUAGGUUAAAACUAAGUUUAGAAGAAAAAAAGCUAAUGUAAGCCUUUCCCCCUCCAUUUUGUAUUUUCUUUUCAUUUGGUUUCAUCUAGUAUGUAGAUAGUAUGUAAGUAGCGUAACUUGAAAAAUAUGGAGCAUGUACUAACAGUGUAAAACAUGAGCAAUUUCAAAGAGGAUUUGAGAAGUGAUAAUAGCUCUAAGUAAAGCCACUUGCAAUUAAUAACAAGAUAGUGAUUCAUUAGGGAGAAAUUCAAUUUGAAAUAUGCCCAGAGUUCUUUCCACUUUAUCUAAACAUAUUUGCAUAAUCGUCGAUUUGAUUUUAAGAUAACGCGGGAAGUGCUAAGAUAAGUUAAAUGUUACAAUUCUCUGAGCCACUGUGUGUACAAGUGCUUAAACAAAACCAAGUGUCCUUGUCACAACACAAAGGUAAGACGUUCCUGAAUCCAGAUGUCAAUAGUCUUGCAGAUUUUUAUAGUAAACGGUGAAGUGACUAAUAGUAAUAAACAUCCAAACUGAAUGAUCUACGUUCAUACCACGUUCAAAACUGUAAACAUGAGAGGUACUGCACCCUGAUUUAAAACUAUGAAAUCACAUGGCUUUGGCUUAAAAUAUUAUGUCCUUGAUCAACCCAGAAAUAGAAUAUUCAAGAUAACCCACCACGUUGUUAGCGCUUACAAUGGACCCACUAGAAUUUAUUUUGGACUCUACAAAUUUCUAUGUACAGUCUAAAAUAAUAUUUUUGGCAGAAGUGAAUCAAUGAUCACUGGUUACCUCACAGACUGAUUCGAACUUGUCUUCAUUUUCUUCCUGGUAACUUCUCUUCGCCUUGGUGGUUGAAGCACUACUUUAAUCGCAGUAUCAAACACAGCUUUUAUGUUCUGUUCAGUAUGAUUAGAAAACAUUGUUGAUCUUUAAUGAUGUUCUUGGCAAUGUAAAAACUUUUUGAAGAGAAUGUCACAAGGGAGGAGUAGAAAUUGGCAGUCUUGAAACUGAUAAGCAGCAACAUACCCGCUGUGUCUUUGAGCUGCAUUCUAUAUAGGCCACAGCACCUAUCUGCUUUCUGAGCUCCUCUCCCUAGCACAAAAUAUUUUAUGAGUUGGAGUAUCCGGUGCUAUGAGAUGUAAAAGGAAGAAAGCAAAACUCGCCUAAACUGAUCCAGUAUUGAUGAUUCCUUUGUGUGGUCAUAUCACCUACCUGUUCAGUAGUGAUGAUGGAAGCAGCAGGAUGGUCAGCAAGAUAAGAUCUGUCUUCGCGGAGAUCUGCAGUAGCAGAAAGUUUGAACCAUGAAGAUAUGCACCUACAUUUGAUUGUACUUGAACAAGUACAUAACUCCUCAUGUUUGAAAUAAUUACACUGGCCAUUAUGGUAUCAACCUCACCUAGUUUGGUUCCGACAAGAACUACAGGAAUGCUAGGCGAAAAUCGGCGAAGUUCUGGCAUCCACUGUACAACAUAAAGCCGAUCGUGAGUUGUUAGCUACAUUUGUUAAUAAUCUAAAAAGAUGUACACAUUGAAGGUUGUAAACUGUGGCCAUCCGUUGUUUAAAUUCCUCCUCCUUGAAUGAGGAUAAAUUUUGGCGGAAAAGGAGGAACUGGUACCCUGAUGAAGUGAUGAUGACUUAGUACAUACUUCUACUCCAACAAUCAACUAGGACAAAACCUCAGCAAUGGAUCUUAUACUGUAACACAGUUAAUUAAAAUGUAUGCGGGCCACACUCCUGAACCUGAAUUACUAUCUUCUUGUUUCUUCUCAUGGGUCCAAGUUGCUAUUGCCUUUGUAAAAGUUCUAUCUUGAGCUAUGUGCUUAUGGCAUGAACAUCACUUGCAGAGUGCAAAUUUUAAAUCACUGCAACUACACAAAAUUAUGCCAUACUAAUAGCUAGGAUGCAACAAACCAUCGCCCCCAAAGCAGGAGUUUCCAGGAUUUCAGCGAGUCAAGAAUUCAGAUUGGUGCUUCUCCCCAACCGUCUAAUUAAGUUCAAGUUAAAUUCUCAUCUUGAAGUGUCCUCAGUACCUUCUUCAGGACAUUCUCAUAGCUUGCCCUGCUGACGAGGGAGAAGGAGAGGAUGAAGACAUCAGCACCCCUGUAGCUGAGAGGCCUCAAUCUGCUGUAAUCCUCCUGACCUGCACACAAGGUCAAGCUGAAUCAGUGAUUCACAGCAGAAAGAAAAGGAAAUACUUGGGAGGCAUUGCUGAACCCUCCCCUCAAUGUGCUGUAAUCUGAUCCCGCACACCUGCCGUGUCCCAGAGGCCCAAGUUGACAAUCCUCCCAUCCACGGAGACAUUGGCACUGAAGUUGUCAAACACAGUGGGGAUGUAAUCCUGCAAAAAAAAAAGGAUACAAAGCCAAAGCAAGAACUCAAACACCACAACAAAAUGAUGGCAUUAACCCCCUCCAAUCCAAUCGAGAUUGGCACUGAAUCUGCAUUCCAUUUCCUUCAAACCAGAGCUAGCCGGCCAAAUCCAAACCAUAUGCAGACGAAAGGGGGCAGAUAGAUAAUCGAAGAUUGGACGAGUAGUGAGCGAGAAUGGGGGGCAUCAUAGAGCACUCUACCGUGGGGAACUUGUUGCAGGUGUAGCAGAUGAGCAUGCAGGUCUUCCCCACGGCGCCGUCCCCGACGGUGACGCACUUGAUGAACUUGGCCACCGAGCUCGCCGCCGCCGCACUCAUCUCUUCCGCCGCCCUGACUUCCUCCCCAGGCCGCACCACCUCCUCACCAACCAGCAACACCUGAUUUAUUUCACUGCCACUGCGCUUCCCAGCUUGGCAGGCUCACCGCAGCAAUGCCUGCGUAAUGAAUGCAGCUCGUGUUCUUUAUUGCGCCACCUGGGGGAGUGAGAGCGUUGUGGAGAAUCUUUAUUCGUACGUCGCCAACUUCUUGCUGAUUUUUUUUUCUUUUUUCUUUUAGCGCUUGAUGUCUCAAGUUUCGAACUCUAGCUGGCUGUAGUCUGUAGACUGUAGAGUAGAUCCUGCCUUUUAGUUUGAACUUUGAACUGAGCAACAACAUCUAGAACGUUCUUCCUUCCUGGUUGCCAAAUGAAGAAACCACAAGACGAGCUGAUUGGAAGUCUUUCUUGCAGCAGAUUGGUUGGUAACUCUGUCGUUAACUAGUGAUGAAGAUGCUGCCAUGUUUUGUUCUGGCUGAGCUUUCAACACACACACGAACCCAUCCUGUUUUGGCUCGGCUCCUGCUCCUCUCAUGGCAGAUCCCUAGCUUUUGUAUUCUUGCUGGUCUCGGCCCCCCGUGAGUGCACAUGCACAUGCGACGAUUCUGGUCGUAUUCGGUAUUCCUUUCUCUCCUCUGGCGCUACAUUCGUUCGGCGCCCAUUCGGGGUUAGUACGUGUCACACUCACACGUGUGGCUGUAAAAAGAAGAGAAUAGAGAACUCGUCUGCACUCAUCUUUACUCAAACCUUUGAGUAUUCGAUGAGGACAACUUGUUUUUGCAAGCGCCACAACAUGGUGCCGGCACCGUGAAAGACAGUUAUGUUUUUUUUUAAAAAAGAAGGCAGUCCUGUUUAUUUUUACAAAUUCAAUCGGAAAAAAAAUCUGUGGGAACGGUACCCAGACCGAGCGCCGUGAGGACCCUUCUCGGAUGGUCGACGUGUGGGCAUUCCAAUGAUUCGAUGCCUGCUAUUCGCUCGGCUCCGACGCAGGCGAGGCUCACAGGUCGCAGCGCUCCGCUUGAGGCUCGCAUAGCUCAGCUUACAGGCUCAAGCUCUCUCAUCGCGACAUCGAGGCCAUGGCGGCUGCCAAGGUCGAGGUCAUCAAACCCGGACGAGCUCCCGGCCCUGCAUGUCCGAUGCGUCGACGCCCUCUGUGCCGUGUGCGCAACAAGGACUCUGAUCCCCCAUCCGCGCCAUGCUCGCCGCGAGGCCGUGCUCCGGCCCCUUGCAAAGCGCUCCUCCACGAGGCACGCCGUUGUCCAUGGCCGUCGUCGUCAAGGCGUCUGCUCGCACCGCCGGCCUCGCUUCCGACGUACACAAGGACCAACCGAUGGGGGCGCCUAUGGUCCAGAUCCGGGGAUGGCGGCAACGGACCAAGGGGCGCCAGCGGACGAGCUGCGGCUGUGGAGCUGCGCCGGACAAUGAGGGGCUCCGGCGGACGAGCUGUGGUGGCAGAUGAGGGGGGACAGAGGGUCGGAGGCGACGGCGGCAGCAACUCGAGCUUCCCAGGCUAAGACACGCCUCCAGGAGUGGACUACUCAUGCUGAGCUGAAAGAUCGCCUGGAGCCGAGCUGAUUCUGCGAGCGCGUGCCAAAGUCAGGGAGCCGAUGUCAUCUCAAUCGUUGGAUGCGUUGUAAUACCCGCGUGUCAACCGAGGAGGGUCCUCAGGGUGCUUGGUUUGGGACCGUCUUGGCUAACAAAAUGCCGAAAAUCGGGAAUGGGGGAUGCCUCAAAGUUGCUUGCUUGCUUGCUUUCUUCUCUAGUUGGGCCGUAGCUGCAACUUCAUACUCGAAUCAUCGUGAUUGUUUCAUGUUCUAAGGAUUUGGCUUUGGAAGUCGUAGCUGCAACAUCCGACGCUUCAACUGCGUGGCGGGGGCUUGCUCGUCGCACGACGACGUACGGCGAGGUCUGCCGAAAUCCAGUCCAGCACGAGGAAGGUGGCCAUUGAUGAUGUGGAUGAGGAGCGCGACGACGUGCGGUCAAGAGGAGCGAAGAACGAGGAGCAGGAUGGCAUCUCCGUCUGCUGCGCCGGCGUGCACGGGCGUGGCCAUGGCCAGAUGCAAGCGGGCGCAGCACCGGGGCUUCCAGGAGGAAGGGGAUGGAAGCCAGGGGCGGCCGGCGACGGCGUUUUCUUGUCAGGCCAAACACCGCCCCUUAGGGCUCCGAACACCCUAGUUCCAUGCGAUCUCGGGCUGAUGCUAGCCGGGCACAAGGAAGAAGACGUGCACCCAAGAGGCGGCCGGCGUCAGGCGGCGCUCCGGCGAGCCGCUGGCGGAGGGUCGGAUGGCGAUCGGAAUUUCUUUUAAAAAAUACCCCUGACAAUGUUUCAAAUAACCCCCUAAUUUGGAUCGCUAUUAAUGAUUUCGAUCCUAUUAUUUUCAAGAUACCCCCUACUAUUUACAAAUUACCCCCUAAUUUGGAUCGCGAUUAAUAGUUGCGAUCCGAUUAUUUGCAAAUUACCCCCUAUUGUUUGCAUAUAAACCCCUCAUUUGGAAUCGCGAGGCGACAGCUGCUUGCCCUCCCCGAUCCGCAGGGGCAUCUGCUCCCCAACCGGCGCCCGAUACUUGAAUCUGCAGCUGCUUGCCCAUCCGAUGCCGCGGCCCCAUUGAGGACUACCAGAACACGGGCAGCUUCAAGGACAUCACGGUGGAGAGUGGAGACGUCCGGUUGUGUCAGGAGUGCCAUAGAUUUUAUUCCCGAUUUGCCAAGUUCUUGACAGGCUGUGAGGUACCCAGCCGAAGCACUGAAUCUCCUCUCCUCCGCAGCUCCGCUGGAACGGCGUUUUCUGGAGAAGCCUCCCGAUUCAUUGGUAAGCUGCAGCUCGCUCCUUUCAGUUCGUUCCAUAUGUGCCACAACUUGCUCCUUGCAUGCUCUACAAAUGCUCGAUGAAAUGCCGGCAAGGAAAGUCGUCCAUGCUUUCAUGAUAAUAUUUGUGGUUUUCAUUAAUAGGAUUGACAAGAACGGCUAAAAUAUUCUCAUUGAGCAGAUACAAUAUUUUAUUGUCGAAGGAGCCGAUAAGGAGCCAACCCUCCAAUUUUCACAUCUGCCGAAGUCAUGUUGCAGGCAGUCAAUUGAGUUCAAUCUAUGUUAUGGUCCUUAAAUUAUUAGUCCAGUGCUCAGUUCUGAAUUGUUAUGGUUCGUAAUAUAUUAAGAACCAAUGCAAGUAGGCUGCCACUCGAAUCAAAAUGCAGGCCUUUGCUGCAAGCCUGCCAUGAACAGAUUGCAACACUGUUGGCCACCUCCAAGUCCCUGCUGUGUGGCACCAGGCCAAUCGAUGUCUGAACUUCUAUGCCUGUACUGCAUCUGGUCCAAUGUAGAGAGUAUUACGAAUGCAAGUUUGCAGCAGUCAAACUCUCUGCUAGGAGUCUGUAGUUGCUGUGAUGGGGUAAACUUGUAUCAAAUGCAGAUGUUUGGUAGGUUACAACAAUUGGCAUGGCAUUGUCCAUGAUCGGAGGUGCACAUGCCACCUAGCUUUCUUUAGUACAUACAACUUCCUGCCAAAUUCGAAGCUUAAAAUGGAGUUUCUGUAGAUACAGUAUUUUCUUAUGGUGUAAGUAUUGUCAAUGCUCAAUUAUUGGCAUGAAUCAGAAUGAUUUGAUGAGAUUGGCUUUAAAUUUAAAUGGUGCGUGCAGCUCGCUGACCGUCACUAUUUCCUGAAACUGAAAUGCUUCCACUCGGUGAGGACAUGAACAUCUGUGGCACCAAAUAAAAGGUGUGUGAUUUAUAGUUUUAUACAUGGUGAGAUGGUGAGCGCUCUUCAGUUUUGUAACCAAACACUCUGCAGGAAGCAAUGGGGAACAACAGCGGUGGAUUAUAUUUGAAGGCUGUGAAAAGAAACAGCUCAAGAGUCAUGCACUUUCUAUAGAAUUAGUUUAUUAACUACUUCAUCUAUCCCAAAUUAUAGGUUGUUUUGACUUUUCUAGAUUUAUAGAUUUUAUUAUGCACUUAGGUAAACUAAAAAUAAUUUAUAGGAUAUCCGGAGAGUAGACUUUUUCCUUAAUUAAUUAUUAGCAUAUUCGUGGAACAUGAAGAACAAUAAUAAGCGAAGUAAUUAACCGUACGUAGGACACAUGCAUUAUUCUUAUGUUACAAAAAAAAUACUCGAUCAAUUCUGAUAACCUUGACCACACUAAUUCAACAGGGAAAUGAGUUCGACGGCGACCGUCACCGCGUUCUGGGCGGUCAGCGGUGCGAACACCCCGGCCUCAUUGGACUCCGCCGCGCCACCGCCGGCGAGGUCGGAGAGCGCCCUGACGGCGAUGAAGGGCGCCCCCUGCUGCAGCGCGACGAGCGCGACGGCGGCCGUCUCCAUGUCGACGGCCGUGACGCCGAACCUGGACCUGAGGAACUCCCUGUACGCCGCGUUGUCGACGAAGACGCUGGCGCUGCACCCGCGCUCGACCCACGCCACCGCCGGGCGUCGCGGCAGGCACGUCGUGCCGUUGCUGACGACGCAGGCUUCAAGUUUGACGCCCUCCAGCUUCCGGGAGAGCUCGUAGUAGCGGGCGUCGACGGGGGCCCAGAACGCGUGGCCGCGCACCUCCGGCGUGCCGCUCGCCGCCGGGAACACCUCCUCCGGCUGGUACCAGACGCCGUUGAGCAGGUUGCCGUCGGACCGGGCGUUCUUGCCGACGGUGUAGUCGGUGAAGUUGAGGCUGCCGAGCUCCCUCGUGUAGUCCCCGUUGGACUCCAAGGCGAGCUCGUUCUCCGGCCCGUGGCCGUAGCGCUGCCAGUUCCAGAGGCCUGUGUGCGCCCAGUAGCGUGGCACGGCGACGUCGCCGAUCUGGCGGUCGGGGUCGGCGUUGCCGGCGAUGCCAAAGUGCACGAUCCCCUUGACGUCGAAGAGCGUGAGGAGGAGCUGCGUGGUCACCCCGGAGUUGAGCUGCAGGGAAUCGGCGCAGUAUAUCAGAACAGUAAGUUUAUUUAGUGAUCAUCUGAGGUUAAUUGAAUUCAAUCCACUGUCAAUCGAUAUUUACUUACCAUGCCGAGGCCCGUCAUGACGAUGACGACCUUCUGCUCCCCGAUCGUGCCGAAGCGAAAUCUCCUUCCUUGAGGCAAAGACGACAUUACGAGUACUUAUUGGUUAAUUAUAUGGUCAAGUAAUUAACUUGUAUCUCCUUGAACAGAAUGCAUGAUCGAUGAUCGAGUUGAUCAUGUAGGUUCAUUGGUCCAAAGAAGGACCAUGGCCUGGUCAGUCAGACCGUACGUCGGAAACGUGCAACCUGGAGCUACUACUACACCCCUGUGUCUGUGUGCGACAGAUGGACACGCACGACGUAAUCAACUGUGCACGAGCCCACGAGUUUGUACUUUCUACACAAGAGGCUGUGUCCACGCGCAUGACUGAAUGCAUGCGUCCACGUGGCAGCUGGCACACUUGUCGUGAGUUCAUCAUACAUGACUGAAUCCUAGCUACGACGCCACGCAUCAUGCAUGAGUUCUAGGCAUAUACGCUAGCUCUUGGUCAAGAGCAUGAAUUUUGUACGUUCCACAACACAAUAUCAUCCAGAAUUGUUAACCUUGACGGGUCAGCCUCAUUUCCUGACGGCCCCGGCGCCAACAGCGUAACGAAUAGUCACAUUGGCUAUCCGAUCGACGGCCACCGAUCAGCAGUAUUGUAUCCUCUGAGAUGAUUCCCGACAGGGAAAGCUAGCCGUAUCCCCAUCGACCAUCGUACCCAAUGGAUGAAUAUUAUUUUUCAGCUCAUAAAUGCAACAUGUAUGCAUGGACAAGUAUAUCUAUGUUUGUUUUGUUAUAUCCAUUGCCAUUUGCAUCCCACUGAUUAUGACUCUACGACAUGGUAAUCAACUUGCUGAUCCUCUUCUUAAUUUAGAUGGCUCUGAGCAAAUCGAUACAAUCUUAGCAUGUGGGAUGUAUCAUCUCCGGUGGGAGCGUUGACGAUCAAUUUCUCUCUACAAUCUUAGCUUGAUUCUAAGAAAGCUUAAACAUGGAUGAUGUCACAUUCACGGCAUAAAAAUAUAUAUCGACAAAUAUAAUGCAGCCACUAAUUUCCUGUCUUAACUAACUAGCACCCAUCAAAAAACUAGUAAGAAAUGUAGUUUUUAGUCCUCGAUAAUUUUGAAGAAAGAUAACAAAAAGAAAAUGACUACCGAUCGGAAGGAACUGAGGCGCACCUGCGACGUCGAGAUGCGGUGGCAGGCUCCUCGCCGGCGAGAACCUCGGCGACCGGAGGAGCGGCUCCAUCUCGAAGGCGUUGGGCACGACGACGCCGAGGAACGGCCCAAGACGGUUCGCCCUCCGGAUGGACCGCGCCGUGCUCUCCGGGACGGCGGCGCCGACGGCGCAGGACAUCGCGAGCAGAAGCAGCGAGACGCCGAGGAACGGCCGCCGGCGCGUGCCCAACAUGAUGGUCAGGCGUUGGUUUCUGGUUAGGGAUGGAAUGGAGCACGAGCAGGAAGCUGUGGAUUAUAUAUUGGCGAACCAAUGCAAACGGAGGCGGCAAUGGGUUAUAUAUAUAUAGGGUUUGAGAGUUGGGGGAUGCAAAUAAAAGUAAACGGUUGGAUUUGAUUGAGUAUAGAAGGAAGGUCACGAAAUGCAGCCGAUCUCCAUGAGCAAGUAAAGAUCUCCCUCCCCUUUUUCUUUACACGCGAAUUAACUCUUUCCGAAGUAAGUAGUAUUUCUAGACGACAAAGUCUCACCGUCGCAAAAAUUGUAUAUUGUAGUUAUCUGAAGAACUUAGGUUUACGAUUCAUCGCAUUUUUUUUGCGAGUAAUUCAUCGCAUUAUACUGUUCAAACUAUUCAAGACUCAGUUGUCUUCUCUCCAACGAAUUCUUUAAAUUUUGUUGUUUAAUUUAAAUUUUUUCUCCGAUCCUCAUGCAAUGCGAGCUGUGUUUGAAGUUUAAAAAUUUGUCCCAUGAUAGCCGACAUGAUACGAUACGUUACAAAAAUAUGUAAAGUUACAUCGCUCCAAGAUUUGGAGGCCUGCGGGAGCCUCUCCCUGGUCUCGCCAUUCACCUCGCGCCGCGUGGCCACUGUGCACCAGAUGUGCUAAACAAAAACGUAAUCGCCACACGUCUGCCGGAUCCAUGAGCCUGCCCAUGAUGUCCAUCACAUUCAUUCUGUUCGGGCUGCCGCAUAUGGCCUUCCCUUCCUCUCAGCUCCGACGAUCCUGCUAAUCCCGCCGCCUGAUGUCCAUUUGGCUCACUGCCUGCCUGGCGCCUGCGUCAACCACGCAGAGCUCAGGUCGCCGAAGGGCGUCAGCUCGCUUCCUCCCUUCUGCUCAGCGUUGAAUCUCCUCGACGUUGGUGUCCCGCCAGCAAAGUUACGAGAGGUAAGGGGUGCCUUGAUUCAGUUAUCUCUCUUUUUUAUUUAUUACGUUUACUAAUUUCUUGCACACUUCUUUUGGUAUACGAUGAUCGGUGAAUAUACGAACCUGUGCUCUGUCCCAAUUCUGAAUCUGCUCAACUGCCCAAAAAUUGAUGCGUCGCUUUGCUAACUCAUACUAAAAAACUAUCCAUUUUCAGACAUUGCUUUACGAAGAGCCAAUACAUCAUCUAUAGAUGCUCGAGGUACUGCACAAGCUGCUGAACCAAGGUACCUUUCCACUCACAUUAGAUAAACUUUUUCCAUAGCAUGCCUGAUUUAGUUUACACGGUUAAUGUUUUCAUCUGAUUUCGUUUACAAAUGUCACAUGAGGUUUAAGACCAAGCCUCACGGUUUUGGAAGACCAACUCAAAUGUUUCAGCAACUGGGCCAUUUCUUCUUCCAUCUGAAUGAUGGUGCAUAGCAUGUAUGAAAUCUGCUAUUUGCAAGUUCAGUGACUGAAAGCAUAUCCUACCUGCUUAUGCAGGCACGUUAAAUCAGGGACCGGCAAUAUACUGCCAUUGCUCCAAAGUGUACUGUCUAAAGCACUGCUCAUUUGUGGUUUGUCAAACAGCAACAGGUAAAUGUCAAGCAAAACAAGUACUAAGAACUACGCCAUUUCAUUAGUGCCUUCACUAUUAGAAUGCCGUACAAAAUGCGUGCUCCUAUGGUGACCAUGGAAUUGACACCCUCUAGUAUAGAGGUGUGUACCGUCAGAAGGACAUGAACGAAGUAGGAAGAAUAUGAAAAGGCACUGCCAAGAGCAGCCUGCCAUAUCUGUGAGCUAUUGUAAGUUGUUUGAUUUUCGCAGCUAUGGUGAACUGAAACCUUUUUGCAUGAGUAUAUUUGAAAAGGUGAAAGAUGGAAUUUGCGUUAUGCUGGAACUGUGUGUGUGUGUGUAUGUAUAGCUUCAAUAGUAUUCUUAUCACAAAGAAGGCUGUAAUGUCCUGUAUUACAUUUUGUAUCUGUGCAGUGCUACAAUCAUAUAUGCUUUCCAAAUCCUAUAAUUAAUUACUUAGUCGACACAUCUUCCUUUAUUAUUUUUGCCAACCUGAAUAACUGGUUGUUAAGCCAUCUUCAUGGUUAAACUACGAUUCAUAUCCUUGCACACUACUGAUAAGUUUGCCUGUCGUCAAAUGGCUUUGCAUUUUUUAUUUCCUGAAUUGUUGUAUGUUUAAAAGGGCCAAAAAAAAAGGUACACUCAUACAAUCGCAGCCACUAUGUCUACAUUAACACUGACAACACAAACAAUCCACGACUUUCCUACGGGCGCGGCGUUAGCGCGCUAACCAUCCUAGUUCUAUAUCUCAUAGCAAAACUUGUCUACAUUUGAUCAUAGGUUUGACUAAAACAAUUUCGAUUAGUUAUAUGGAAAUAAAAUCAUUGGAUUCGUUGUGAAAAAAAAACUUUCAGAAUAUUUUAAUCCUAUAGAGUUUUAUUAUCCUAUUCAUACAAAAUUCUGUAAUCAAAGUUUCGAAUUGACUGCUCUCCUUUAUUUAUUUCUUCUUUCGUUAAAUAGCGUCUGCAAAGCUCUGCACGUGAAUUGUUGGGCCUGCAGAAAUGGGCCGAGUAGAUUGUGUGUUGGGCCGGCACGUGAACUGUUUGCUUUUCAGGGCCUGCUCCUGCUGAGCGUAGGUCAACAAAAUUAGUAAAGAGGCCGACCGUGUUUUCCGGAAAUGGCAAAUGGGUAACCUUUGGGCUUGUGGAAUUGGACAAGGCAGCGAGGUCGCGAGGGAGAACGCUCCAGCAUCUUUGGGGUACUCUCCGCGUUAAAAAGACUCACCAAAACAUGCAUUAAAGAUUUGACUAAAAAAUAUGUAUGAUACAUCAUGCAACUAUACAUGUUUGUGCAAAAAAUCGGGUUGAGUAAACUUUUGUGUAAGGAGAAAAAAAAAGACAAAAUCGGCGUGUAAUGGGAUUAUAUGUUGGAUAGAUGAGCACUUUUAGAUAAACCGGCAAAAGGAAGCUGCGCCCCCGCCGGAUUAUGGCGAACCAUUCACGCAGGGGCCACGCACCCGCACCCUUCGCCCAGCGAGGCGAGAUGAGCAAGUGCGCACGCAUGUGGAACUCUCCUUCCCUCCCCACACACAUAGCUUGAAGGAAUGGAGACAACUUCCAUAUUUAAGUUGGUCAUCCCUCCCCUCCACUAGCAAUGUGGGACUAAAGACUUGCACCACUCCAUCUCUUGCCCAUAUGGGCCUUUGAGAUUUAUUUAAAAUUCUGAAAUUACUUAUGGGCUAGGGCCAUUAUUUCAACAUUAUAUACUGUUCAUCUGAAUCCACGACCCGCACCUAAGUCGGGAACUCGAAAUCAAGCGGGCAUAUUUUAACAUAAGAAACCUAACCAACUAAUCUACGCUAGCUUCAAUGAAUUUAUUUGGAGGUAAUAUUUGUCGGAAACUUCAAAUGGACGCUCUGGUGAAUAUGGUGAUAGCACACUGAACUGACCCAGCAACAUCGAAAUGCAAUCAACAUUGCUGACUGAACUCAGUUAACAGCAGAUACAAUUUUACUUGUCAUAUACAUAUGUGAUAUGAACUUUCCUAGGUACACCAUAAAUCAAAGAAAACGGCACCCCUGCACCUGCUCUCCUGCCUCAUACGACGAGCAUGCACAGUACAUAUGAGCUAGUAAAGUCCACUAACUUGCUAGAGAUUUCACAUAUACAUGAUCAACGAAACAAAUUUGCAAGGGACCAGAGAAGAACUAGAUCUUCUUCUUGAAGCCCCUCCUUGCAGCAGAUACAGAUGACGAAGCUUUCGCCCCCCAGCCCAAAAGGUUAUACUACUCGCAUAGCAUCAAGAGCAAUCAGCCUUACAGGUGUAGCUUCUUCCCUUACCAGAAUGACUGCUCAUGAUGUUAUGUUCCCCAGCAACCCUGCACCCCCUUCUCUUUUCUUAGAGACCUCUCUCUACCCUGUAGCCUCAUGAACAUAUACUUGCAAAGAAACAGCUCGCCAAAUCGAUCUCUAGGCCAUGAAAGCGUCGUCAAUGGCGGCGAAUGCUCUAGCGGAGGAUCCCGCCGAGCGGCGCCGGGGCCCAGUAGUCGGCGGCGUUGUCCCCUCCAAAGUGCGAUGUGCACGAUACCGGGACGAGGCACAGCCCCCGGCUCCUCAGGUCCUUCUUGGCCUCCUCACUCGCACCCUAGAUGAAUAACAAUUGAUCAGGCAUUUAUUCAUCAAAUUGCUAAUUAACGUAUAUUGCUAUAAAGUGUUUUGGAGCUGCAUUCUGCUGUUAAAAUUAAAAUGUGCAUAAUUAUUGGGUUAACAGUAUUUAUGUAGGUAGUAUAUAGCAGCUACUAGCAUCACCCUGAGUACACGAGUGUGCAGAUGAUUGAAAAUGACUUUGAAGCAAAGCAAAGUGUGCACAGAUACCUGCUGCUCAUCAGGCUGGACUGCAGGCUGCUGUGCUCCAGUGUUGCUAUUAUGGUUUAGCAACUGCGCAAGGAACCAGACGCAAAAAGAUAUAUGAAUGAAAAGUGGCUUAAGUUGGGCUGUAAAGGGUUAGAUUCUUACAUCCAGGAAUCAUGUGCAACCAGCAUAGGGGGUUUUUACGUUACCUGGCCGGGGUAUUCUGGGAAGAGCCCAGGGUUCCUUUCUCCCAUCGGUCCCUAUAGAGAUGAAAAAGAAAGCACCGUGUCACAUGUCAACGCUGCACGUACACGCGUGCGAGAGAAAAGCUGGAGAGAAUAAUCUCCCAGAUGGGAUAAAUAUGAUUGAGCCCAUGAGGUGUACUGGCCCAUGGUUGUCUCAAGCUGACCUAGGGUCAGCUCAAAAUAAAAAGGUGGUUAUUGCUAUAUAUCCCCUUGUGCAGCCUAGCUAAAACAAGCUGGUUAUGACCAUAUUACUUGUGCAAGCUAAAAUAAUUAAGCUGGCCAUUAGCACAUUACCCUGGAUUGUUAGCUAAAUCAUGUGUGUUACAAAAAGACAUUAAUCCUAUCACAAUAUAUAACUGUAACACAGCCGGAACAUAAGGUUCAUAUUUAUAAGUUCUGCUUGAGUUCAAUUUUCUGCCAGAAAGGGAGCAAGAGAAAACUAGCGAUUUUAGUCGACCUCUAAGUUGUGAAAAAAAUUGAAGUUAUAAUAUUCUAGAGAAUAUCAACCUUUAAAUCUUUGUAAUUUUUGUUAAUUUUUACAUGCAUAAACUCAGGUACAGUAUCUUAAUUUAAAGAGACCUUUUCUUCCAAAAGAUGAUUAUGUGCAAGUUAACUAGGAUAAAUUGGCACCUGCAGGUAAUUAAGAAUGGGUGCCAAUUAUAUUGAUCGUAGUACCAAAAUAUGCAUGGAUAAAUUUUGGAAUCUUUCUUGGAUAAGUACUAAAUUUAAUUCGUGAUAUUGCAGAACUUUCCAUUGCGUGAUCAUUCAUAAGUCCAUUAUACUUCCAAUAACACAUCAUUCUGUCAAAGAACACCCUAAGAUGACCGAACUGGCUUUCUAAAAAAAAGUUAAGCUAGAUCUAUAUUGUCAGCUCCUAAAAAAUGUUACCAAUGCAAUUUUUCGAGAGACAGCAUAUAACAAUUCUUGAGAUAGAUAGACCGAGAGAACCUAUAUUAUUAAUUUAAUCAAUAUAUAUAGAAGGUGAAGUAGUCAAACCCUAGAAAUAGUCACACCGUACAAAUUUAUAUAUUUCCAAGAAAAUUAAUGCAAACUUCACCAUAUUAUAGAGAACUAUACUUUGCAUAGUGAUGCUUGUAUGUAUACUAGGAAAGUGGGUUUCUAACUUUCAUACUCCAGAGAAAAAUAGAAAACUAAACAAGCUUAGUUACUUUCAUGUUGAAGUUUGUAUACUAGUGACUAGUGAACUUUGAUUACAUGCACUCAAUACAUUAAGCUUUGUAUACUUGUCUAACUAUCUAGGAGCCAAUAUAUCGUUCUCAAAAGUUAAUCAUAAUUUCACACUGAAGACAUGCUUGCAGAGAUUUUUAUUUAUGAUUAUGUCUCUCUGUAAAAAAAUACUUUCUGUUCUAUUACGUGGCACACAUAAAGAGUCUAAAAGAUCUAAAGCCCUUUUUCAUAAAGGUUACUAAAAGGAUCGGUGUUCUACUGAAGCUUUGGUAAAAGGCUUCUUUAGAAUAGCUUUGACAAAGCAUAUUUUUGGGCGACCUUUGAUAAAGGUUUUGCUAAGGUAUUGUAUCCUCCUACAAAGUCUACACCGGGUAACGAUUUCACGAGAUCAUGCACGUGGAUAAGCAUUUUGUUAACCUCGCACGUAAACACACACCCUUGGUC